AUUUCUCUCCUUUCUACUUCUUAUUGUCUUGUUCAGCUGUAUUUUGUGUUAUCGGGUUGGUUGGCUCGGGUUCGGAGAAGUUUUAGUAAGAUUUGAGACACUUAGUCUCUUUUGAGGAAAGCUUAAGAUGGAAAAGUCAAUCGGACGUUGACUUAUGUGUUAUCUCGAAUGUGAGUUACGAUGGUUUGUAUAUCUUUGGGAGGUGAUUUGAGACUUAAGAGCGUGAUCAGAAUACGUUUUGGAGGUCUGGAGUAGAUUUAGGCUUGAAUUGGCGAAAUUGGAAUUUUGCAUUUUCCGGUUGAUGGGUGAGAUUUUGAUAUAGGGGGUCAGAAUGGAAUUUUGGAAGUUGCAAUAGGUUCGUUGUAUCAUUUGGAAGGUGUUUGCAAAAUUUCAGGUCAUUCUGACGUGGUUUGGUAGACUUUUUGAUCAAAAGCAUAAUUCGGAAGAUUUUGGGAACCUUAGGCUUGAAUCCGAGGUAUUUUGGUUGAUUCGAUGUUGUUUGAGGUGUUUUGAAUAUUGGUAUAUGUUUGGAUGGUAGUAUAUGGCUUGAUUGUGCUUUUGGUUGAGGUUUCGGGGGCCUCGGGGUGAUUUCAGAUGGUUAGCGGAAAGUUUGGAAGUUGGAUGUAGCAGUUGAAGAUAUGUCUGUUGUCAUAACCGCACCUGCGGCUAGGGGACCGCAGGUGCGGGCUCAGAGAAGCGUAGAGGGAUCUGCAGAUGCAUCCAAGAGGAGGCUCAACUAGAGUUGCAGAAGCGGUAAGGGAGCGCACCUGCGAUAGCACAGGUGCGGGCAGCGCAGAUGCGAAUUUUGGCCCAUAAGUGAAAACCGUAGAUGCGGUGUCUUCGACUGUAGAAGCGGUACCGCAGGUGCAAAAAGCCUGGGCCAGAAGGUAUAAAAGAAUUCCUUCACGAUUUUUGAGUUGUUCUUCACCAUUUCAAGUCGGGUUUGGAGCUUUUUGGGAGAUUUUGAAGAGGGAUUCAAGGGAUAACGUCUGGAGGUAAGAUUUUUGAACCUAAUAAUCGAUCAUAUGGCAUUAUUUCACUGAUUUGGCCUAAGAUUAAUAGAAAUUAAGGGUUAAAGAUUGGGAAACUAGGGUUUUGUAUUGGAGACCUUGACUUGAGGAUUUGAAGGGUCAUUUGUGGUCGGAUUUUGGGACUUUUGAUAUGUAUGAACUCGUGGGGAGAUAAGGAAUAUAUUGAUGUAAAUUUUAUCGAAUUCCGAGACAUGGGUCUGGGGUCGGGUUUUGGUUAAUUUCGAGAUUUAUGUUGUAAAUUGAUUAUUUUCGCCUGGGCUUCGUUCCCUUAGCAUACUUUGACGUCGUGAUUCUGAUUUUGGAUGGAUUCGAUGCGAGUGGAGGCCGAUUCGAGGGGCAAAGGCAUCGCGGGAUAGAGUUUGGACCGGAUUGAGGUAAGUAAUGAUUUCAAAUGUUGUCCUGAGGGUAUUAAACCCUGGAUUACACAUCGCUGUGCUAUAUUGAAGUGACGCACAUGCUAGAUGACGAGUGUGAGGUCGUGCACCAUUGGGGAUUGUGACUUAGUCCAUCCCGAAUGACUGUUUUACCGCGUAUUUGAUUGAAAACUGUUUGCUAUCAUCAUAUUUUGGGCUGAAUGCCACAUUUGGGCCUCGUGCCAACUAUUUGGACCUUAGGGAAUUUUUACUACUAUUUUCUCACUAUUUUGAUUUUUAUAUAUGUACUCAGUCAUGCUAUAUUAUACUAUUUUCAUGACUCAGCCAUGUUUACUCUAUUUUAAUACUUUAAAUGAUAUUUUGGGUUGAGCAUCAUGUUUUACUGUGCCCAAGUGGCUUUUAGAGAUUUCUGACUGAGUAGGGCUGAGGGCCUGUGUUGUGAGUAUUUUUGUGGGAUCGGGUUGCACGCCGCAGUAAUGAUACACUGAUUUAUGAUUAUGAGGCCGAGGGCCUGAGUUGUACGCUACGAGGUGGCUUGAUAUGAGGCCGAGAGCAUAUUGAUUAUGCCACAAGAAGGCUUGAUAUUGCGCUUGGGCUGUAAGGGGCCCCUCCCGGAGUCUGUACACCCCCAGUGAGCGCGGGUACCCAUUGUGAUAUGAGAUAUAUCCCGAGGGGCUGGUGUUGUUCCAUGUUAUUGCUCGAGGGGCGGAUUCUAUGACAUUGUUCCCGAGGGGCGGAUUCUAUGUGUUUACCUUUUCUAGUUGCUCUUCAUUUACUUGUUUAAUUGUUAAAAAGGUGUUUUAAGGAAGCUUAUUUUGAACUAAGGUGUCUUUAUAUGAUUUCCAUGUUUCAUUGCUUUUUUAUUGGUUUUAGAGUGCUUCUUUAUAGCAUGUUGAUGUGCUCUUUACGUGAUUUCUUAUCACUCAGUCUUAAUUUAUUAUUAUUACUCACUGAGUUGGAGUACUCACUUUACUCCCUGCACUCUGUGAGCAAAUUCAGGCGCUUCAGGUCCUGCUAGCGAGGGUUGAUAGCUUCCAGCAGAUAUCGGAGUCCUUUAGGUAGUUGCUUGGCGUUCGCAGCCCAGUGUUUCUCCCUCUUAUCAUUAUUUCUUUCCCUUGUACUGUAUUUUGUAAUAGAUUGUGUAGUCCCUUUCCUAUAUUCCUAGACUUGUGUUAGAUGCUCAUGACUAGUGACACCCCGAUGUCGGGUUGUGUUGGUUUUUUCGCCAAUUGUACUAUUUCACUAUUUAUUUGGGAUUUAAUCAUGUUAAAGACUUAAAUUGUGCUAUUUUAAUUGCUUAAAAUAAAUUGGGUGUUGUGUCAGCUGGCCUUGUCUUCACGAGAGGCGCCAUCAUGACCGGGUCUGGGUUUAGGGUUGUGAAAAGUUGGUAUUAGAGCCUAGGUUACAUAGAUCUCAUGAGUCAUGAGUAGGUUUAGUAGAGUCUCCCAGAUCGGUACGGAGACAUCUGUAUUUAUCCUCGAGAGGCUGCAGAACCUUUAGGAAAAUCUUCAUAUUCUUGAAAUUUUGUCGUGCAAAUCUGUUGAUCCGAGUACUAAACUUCUAUUAUUCUAUUCCCUCACAGAUGGUGAGGACACGAGCGACCGGUCAGGAUGGACGACCACUAGUACCACUACCUGUGGCCACUAGAGGACGAGGACGCAGUCGUGGUCACGGUAGGGGAAGGGGUGUGGCCCGCACAGCAGUUAGGGCAACACCUGCAGAUCUACUAGCCUCCCCAGUUCAGGAUCAGGUCCCAGUUGUGGACGCUCCAGCAGCACUAGCUCAGGCACCAGCUAUGCCCAUUAUGAUUCAGGGUCUUCAAGAGGCCUUGGCUCAGAUUCUAUCAGUAUGCACUGGCCUAGCUCAGGCGAUUUCAGUUACUACAACCGCAUCUACUUCUCAGGCUGGGGGAGGCAAUCAGACUCCCGCCACUCGCACACUUGAGCAGGUCAUACAGGGACUUCAGACAUCGGGGGCACAUCCAGCCUAGCCGAUUGCGGCUGCUCAGGACAAUGCAGCUCCUGCCAUGCCAAAGGAUGAGAAACGUAGGUUGGAGAGGUUGGGUAGACUUCAGCCUCUGACUUUCAGUGGUGUAGAGGUCGAGGAUGCCCAGGGUUUCUUGGACAAGUGUCAGCAGAUUCUUUGUACAACGGGUAUUCUAGAGACCAACGGUGUCGCUUUCACUACUUUUCAGUUUUUUGGAGCCGCCUUCACUUGGUGGGAGGCUUAUGAGAGGCAUAGGCCUGUUGGUGCAGCACCCCUUACCUGGCAACAGUUCUUUGUUCUCUUUUUGGAGAAGUAUGUGCCACAGUCUCGCAGAGAGGAGCUGUGCAGGUAGUUUGAGUGGAUGCGUUAGGGAGAGAUGACUAUGACCAGUAUGAGAUGAGGUUCUUAAAGUUAGCUCGUCAUGCUAUUUGGUUGGUUCCGAUAGAUAGAGAGAGUAUUAGGAGGUUUGUUGAUGGCCUCACUUAUCAGCUUCGUAUUCUCAUGACCAGGGAGNNNNNNNNNNNNNNNNNNNNNNNNNNNNNNNNNNNNNNNNNNNNNNNNNNNNAGCGUGAUGAGAGGGAGGCCAAGAGGCCUCGAGGAUCCGGUAGUUAUGGUGGUGCUUCUUCGAGAGGUCAAUUUCAGCACGGUAGAGGCCGUCCAUUUAGUUAUGCUCAGCUAGCUCGCCCAGGUUAUCGUGGGGCAUCAUUGGGUCAUGGUUAUCACGGUUCUCAUCAGGGCCAGUCAUCACUUAGUGCCCUUCCAGCUCAGAGUUCUUCCCGUGCUCUAUCAGUUCAGGCUCUUCCAUGCCAGGUGCAUCUGCUAGUCAUUCCGGUGCUAGGGGUUCCCUUCAGUCCCCGUCUCUAGCACUUGGGAGUUGCUAUGAGUGUGGAGAGAUGGGUCAUAUGUGGAGGUAAUUUCCUCGUCGUCUUGCGGGUUCAUCUCAGUAGAGGAGUCAGCCAUCGGUUUCAGCGCUAGUUACUUCACCACCACCCACCCACCCAGCUAGGGGUGAAGGUCAGUCAACUAUGGGUCGCCUUAGAGGGGGAGGUCGAUCAGUUGGUGGUCAGGCCCGUUUCUAUGCACUUCCAGCUAGACCCGAUGUUAUUGCUUCUGAUGCUGUUAUUACAGGUAUUGUUUCAGUCUGCUGCAGAGAUACCUUUGUAUUAUUUGAUCUCGGUUCCACUUAUUCUUAUGUGUCAUCAUACUUUACUCGUUAUUGGAUACGCCCCGUGAAUCUCUUGUUUCAUCUAUUCAUGUAUCUACGCCAGUGGACGAUACUGUUGUUGCAGACCGUGUGUACCGGUCAUAUGUGGUGACUAUUGGGGGUUUGGAGACCCGAGUGGAUCUAUUGUUGUUAUGUAUGGUAGACUUUAAUAUUAUAUUGGGUAUGAAUUGGUUAUCUCUGUGUCAUGCUAUUUUGGAUUGUCAUGCUAAGACAGUGACUUUGGCUAUGCCGGGUGUGCCACGGAUUGAGUGGCAAGGUUCGACUGAUUAUGUUCCCAGUAGAGUGAUUUCUUUUUUGAAGGCCCAGCGUAUGGUUGGAAGGGUUGUCUUUCAUAUCUAGCCUUUGUGAGGGAUGUCGGUGCAAAGACUCCAAGUAUUGAUGUUGUUCCAGUUGUGAGGGAUUUUCCUGAUGUGUUUCCUGCAGACCUGUCGGGCAUACUACCGGAUAGGGAUACUGAUUUUGGUAUUGAUCUGGUACCGGGCACAUAGACAAUUUCUAUUCCACCAUAUCGUAUGGCACCAGCGGAGUUGAAAGAGUAGCUUCAGGAACUCCUUACUAAGGGGUUCAUUCGGCCUAGUGUGUCAGCUUAGGGUGUGCUAGUUCUAUUUGUGAAGAAGAAGGAUGGAACUAUGAGGAUGUGCAUUGCUUACAGGCAGUUGAACAAAGUAAUAGUAAGAACAAGUAUCCCUUGCCUCGCAUUGAUAAUUUAUUCUACCAGCUUCAUGAAGCGAGAGUGUUCUCCAAGAUUGAUCUCCGUUCGGGUUAUCGCCAGUUGAAGAUCAGGGACUCAGAUAUUCUUAAGACAGCUUUCAGGACCCGAUAUGGUUAUUAUGAGUUCUUGAUGAUGUCUUUUGGGUGGACCAAUGCCCCAACAACGUUCAUGCAUUUGAUGAAGAGCGUGUUCUGGCCGUAUCUUGACUCGUUUUUCAUAGUGUUCAUUGAUGAUAUUUUGGUAUACUUGUGUAGUCAGGAGGAGCACGCAGAGCAUUUGAGAGUUUUGUUGCAGAUAUUUAGGGAGGGGAAGCUUUAUGAAAAGUUCUCCAAGUGUGAGUUUUGGCUUUGUUCAGUGCCUUUCUUGGGGCACGUAGUGUCCAGCGAGGGUAUUUAGGUUGAUCCGAAGAAGAUAGAGGCGGUUUAGAGUUGGCCCAGACUGUCCUCAGCCAUAGAGAUUCACAGCUUUCUUGGGUUGGCGGGUUAUUACCGCUAGUUUGUUCAGGGAUUCUCAUCUAUUGCAUCGCCCUUGACCAAGUUGACUCAGAAGGGUAUUUCAUUUGUAUGGUCGGAUGAGUGUGAGGAGAGCUUUUAGAAGCUCAGACUGCCUUGACCACAACUCCAGUGUUAGUUUUUCCAUCAGCUUUAGGUUCUUAUACCAUGUAUUGUGACACUUCGUGAGUUGGUAUUGGGUGUGUGUUGAUGCAUGAUGGUAGAGUUAUUGCUUAUGUUUCUCGACAGUUGAAACCCCAUGAGAAGAACUACCCUGUUCAUGAUUUGGAAUUGGCUGUCAUUGUUCACGCGUUGAAGAUUCGGAGGCAUUAUUUGUAUGGUGUGUCUUGUGAGGUAUUUACUGAUCAUCGUAGCCUCCAGCACUUGUUCAAGCAGAAGGAUAUCAAUUUGAGGCAGCGGAGAUGGUUGGAGUUGCUAAAGGAUUAUGAUAUUACUAUAUUGUACCAUCUGGGGAAGGCCAAUGUGGUGGCCGAUGCCUUGAGUAGGAAGGCGGUGAGUAUGGGGAGUUUCGCAUAUAUUCCAGUUGGGGAGAUACCUCUUGCAGUUGAUGUUCAGGCCUUGGCUAAUCGGUUCGUGAGGUUGGAUAUUUCAGAGCAUAGUCGGGUUUUGGAUUGUGUGAUUUCUUGGUCUUCCUUAUAUGAUCGCAUCAGAGAGCGCCAGUAUGACGAUCCUCAUUUGCUUGUCCUUAAGGACAGAGUUCAGCACAAUGAUGCCAGAGAUGUGACUAUCGGUGAUGAUGCGGUGUUGAGGAUGCAAGACUGGAUAUGUGUGCCUAAUGUAGAUGUGCUUCGGGAGUUGAUUCUGGAGGAGGCUGAUAGCUUGCGGUAUUCCAUUCAUACGGGUGCUGUGAAAAUGUAUCAGGAUCUGAGACAACAUUAUUGGUGGAGGAGAAUGAACAAGGACAUUGUGGGAUUUGUAGCUCGGUGUCUCAAUUGUCAGUAGGUGAAAUAUGAGCAUCAAAGACCGGGUGGCUUGCUUCAACAGAUGGAUAUUCCAGAGUGGAAGUGGGAGCGGAUCACCAUGGACUUUGUAGUUGGGCUCCCAUGGACUUUGAAGAAGUUCGAUGUUAUUUGAGUGAUUGUGGGUCGGCUGACCAAGUCUGCGCACUUCAUUCCUGUAUGUACUACCUAUUCUUUAGAGCGGUUGGCUGAGAUCUAUAUCCGGGAGAUUGUUCGUUUGCAUGGCGUCCCGGCCAUCAUUUCAGAUAGGAGCACUCAGUUUACUUCGCAGUUUUGGAGGUCUGUGCAGUGAGAGUUGGGUACUCAGGUUGAGUUGAGCACAACUUUUCACCCUCAGACGGACGGGCAGUCCGAGCGCACUAUUCAGAUAUUGGAGGAAAUAUUGUGUGCUUGUGUCAUUGAUUUUGGAGAGUCAUGGGAUCAGUUUCUAUUGCUCGCAGAGUUUGCUUAUAACAACAGUUACCAGUCGAGUAUUCAGAUGGCUCCAUAUGAGGCUUUGUAUGGGAGGCGCUGUAGAUCUCCAGUUGGUUGGUUUGAAUCGGGUGUGGCUAGGCUAUUGGGGACCGACUUGGUGCAAGAUGCUUUAGACAAGGUGAAGGUGAUUCAGGAGAUGCUUCGUACAGCGCAGUCGAGACAGAACAGUUAUGCUGAUAGGAAGGUUCAGGAUGUGUCCUACAUGGUUGGUGAGAAGGUUUGUUGAAGGUUUCACCCAUGAAGGGUGUUAUAAGAUUUGGUAAUAAAGGUAAAUUGAGUCCUCGGUUCAUUGGGCAUUUCGAGGUGCUUCGGAGGAUUGGGGAGGUGGAUUAUGAGCUUGCUUUGCCACCCGGAUUGUCGAGUGUGCAUCCGGUAUUUCAUGUUUCUAUGCUCCAGAAGUAUAUUGGGGAUCCGUCUCAUGUUCUGGAUUUCAGCACGGUUCAGUUAGAUAGUGAUUUUACUUAUGAUAUGGAGCCAGCAGCUAUUUUGGAUCGUCAGGUUCGAAAGUUGAGAUCAAAGGAUAAAGCUUCAGUGAAAGUGCAGUGGAGAGGUCGGCCCGUAGAGGAGGCUACCUGGGAGACCGAGCGGGAGAUGCGCGGCAGAUAUCUCACCUGUUUGAGGCAUCAGGUAUGUUUCUUGACUCAUUCGAGGACGAAUGUUUGUUUAAGAGGGGGAGGAUGUAACGACCCGGCCGAUCAUUUCAUGGGUUAUGCUCCGUUUCCCCCAUUUAUGCUUAUUAUUGUCUUGUUCAGUUAUAUUUUGUGUUAUCGGGUUGGCUGGCUUGGGUUCGGAGAGGUUUUGGUAAGAUUUGAGACACUUAGUCUCUUUUGAGGAAAGCUUAAGUUGGAAAAGUCAACCGGAUGUUGCCUUAUGUGUUAGAGGACUCGGAUGUGAGUUCUGAUGGUUUGAAUAGCUUCGGGAGGUGAUUUUAGACUUAGGAGCGUGAUUGGAAUGUGUUUUGGAGGUCCGGAGUAGAUUUAGGCUUGAAUUGGCGAAAUUGGAAUUUUGGCGUUUUCCGGUUUAUGGGUGAGAUUUUGAUAUAGGGGGUCGGAAUGGAAUUCCGAAAGUUGCAGUAGGUUCGUGGUGUCAUUUGAAAGGUGUGUGAAAAAUUUCAAGUCAUUCAGACGUGGUUUAGUAGACUUUUUUAUCAAAAGCGCAAUUCGGAAAAUUUUGGGAACCUUAGGCUUGAAUCCGAGGUGUUUUGGUUGAUUCGAUGUUGUUUAAGGUGUAUUGAAGAUUGGUAUAAGUUUGGAUGGCAGUAUAUGGCUUGGUUGUGCUUUUGGUUGAGGUCCCGGGGGCCUCGGGGUGAUUUGAUGGUUGGCGGAAAGUUUGGAAGUUGGUUGUAGCAGCUGAAGCUAAGUGUGCUGUCAUAACCGCACCUGGGGCUAGGGGAUCGCAGGUGGGGGACUCGCAGAAGCAUAGAGGGAGCCGCAGAUGAGGCCAAGAGGAGGCUCAAUUGGAACCGUAGAAGCGGUAAGGGGAGUGCACCUGCGAUAGUGCAGGUGCGGGCAGCGCAUCGCAGAUGCGGAUUUUGUCCCAUAAGUGAAAACCGCAGAUGCGGUAUCUUGGACCGUAGAAGCGGUACCGCAGAUGCGGUGGAUGGACCGCAGGUGCGAAAAGCCUGGGCCAGAAGGUAUAAAAGAAUUCCUUCACGAUUUUUGAGUUGUUCUUUACCAUUUCAAGUCGGGUUUGGAGCUUUUUGGGAGAUUUUGAAGAGGGAUUCAAGGGAUAACGUCUGGAGGUAAAAACAUUUAACCUAAUAAUCGAUUUUAUGGCAUUAUUUCACUGAUUUGGCCUAAGAUUAAUGGAAAUUAAGGGUUAAAGAUUGGGAAACUAGGGCUUGGUAUUGGAGACAUUGACUUGAGGAUUUGAAGGGCCAUUUGUGGUCGGAUUUUGGGACCUUUGAUAUGUAUGAACUCGUGGGGAGAUAAGGAAUAUAUUGAUGUAAAUUUUAUUGAAUUCCGAGACGUGGGUCGGGUUUUGGUUAACUUCGGGGUUUAUAUUGUAAAUUGAUUAUUUUUGCAUGGGCUUCGUUCCCUUAGCAUACUUUGACAUCGUGAUUUUGAUUUUGGAUAGUUUCGACGCGAGUGGAGGCCGAUUCGAGGGGCAAAGGCGUCGCGGGCUAGUGUUUGGACCGGAUUGAGGUGAGUAAUAAUUUUAAAUGUUGUCCUAAGGGUAUGAAACCCUGGAUUACACAUCGUUGUGCUAUAUUGAGGUGACGCACACACUAGAUGAUGAGCGUAGGGUCGUGCACCAUUGGAGAUUGUGACAGUCCAUUCCGAAUGAAUGUUUUACCGCGUAUUUGAUUGAAAACUGCUUGCUAUCAUCAUAUUUUGGGUUGAAUGUCAUAUUUGGACUUCGUGCCAACUAUUUGGACCUUAGGGAAUUUUUAUUGCUAUUUUCUCACUGUUUUGAUUUUUAUAUCUGUAUUCAGUCGUGCUAUAUUAUACUGUUUUCAUAACUCAGUCAUGUUAACUCUGUUUUAAUACUUUAAAUGAUACUUUGGGUUGAGCAUCAUGUUUUACUGUGCCCGAGUGGCUUUUAGAGAUUUCUGACUGAGUAGGGCCGAAGGCCUGUGUUGUGAGUAUUAUUAUGGGAUCGGGCUGCACGCCGCAGCAGUGAUGCACUGAUUUCUGAUUAUGAGGCCGAGGGCCUGAGUUGUACGCCACGAGGUGGCUUGAUAUGAGGCCGAGAGCCUAUUGAUUACGUCAUGAGAUGGCUUGAUAUUGCGCUUGGGCCGUAAGGGGCCCCUCUCGGAGUCUGUACACCCCCAGUGAGCGCGGGUACCCAUUGUAAUAUGAGAUAUAGCCCGAAGGGCUGGUGUUGUUCCAUGUUAUUGCCCGAGGAGCUGAUUCUGUUGACAUUGUGCCCGAGGGGCGGAUUUUAUGUGUUUACCUUUUCAAGCUACUCUUCAUUUACUUGUUUAACUGUUAAAAAGGUAUUUUAAGGAAGCUUAUUCUGAACUAAGGUGUCUUUAUAUGAUUUCCCUGUUUCAUUGCUUUUUAUUGGUUUUACACUGCUUCUUUAUAGCAUGUUGAUGUGCUCAUUACGUGAUUUCUUAUCGUUCAGUCUUCAUUUAUUAUUAUUACUCACUGAGUUGGAGUACUCACUUUACUCUCUGCACCCUAUGUGCAGAUUCAGGCGCUUCAGGUCCUGCUAGCGAGGGUUGAUAGCUUCCACAGAUUUCGGAGUCCACUAGGUAGCUGCUUGGCGUUCGCAACCCAGUGUUUCUUCCUCUUAUCAUUAUUUCUUUCCCUUGUACUGGAUUUUGUAAUAGACUGUGUAGUCCCUUUCCCAUAUUCCUAGACUUGUGUUAGAUGCUCAUGACUAGUGACACCCCGAUGUCGGGCUGUAUUGGUUUUUCCGCUAAUUGUACUGUUUCACUGUUUAUUUAGGAUUUAAUCAUGUUAAAGACUUAAAUUGUGUUAUUUUAAUUGCUUAAAAUGAAUUGGGUGUUGUGUCGGCUGGUCUUGUCUUCACAAGAGGCGCCAUCACGUCCAGGUCUGGGUUUAGGAUCGUGACAGCGUAGUAGGCGUUUACUGAUAUAUCAAAACUGUCGAUAAGCUCAAUAAUUCAUAAAAUACUUCCGUCUUUAAAUGUGAACUAGUACAUUACCUCAUUUAUUACAAGUGUAGUAGUAUUUUACUGAUAUUUGUCAAAUUAUCGGUAAGAUACUGACGACUUCAAACUCGCAAAUUGCUAUUGUUAUAGUUCCUUGAAAGUGAAUUAAUGUCUUAAUUACUUGUGAUAUGUAACAACUCCUAUUCAUAAAUAAUAAAUUACUGUUGUAAUUAAAAGUAUAGUAAAAUAUUGAUUAUACUAUGUAACAACACCUAUUCGUAAAUUACUGUUGUAAUCAAAGCAUAGUAAAAUAUUACUUAUAUUCGUAAAAUAUUACUGAUACUGAUAUGUCAAAAAUCUCGGUAUGCUUAACAAUUCGUAAAAUACAUCCGUCUUUAAAUUGCAGUAGUAAUUUACUUCUCUUAUUACAAGGGUAGUAGUAUUUUACUGAUAUUGUCAAAAUAUCGGUAUGAUACGGACGACUUCAAACUCGCAAAUUAAUGUUGUUAUAGCUCAUUGAUAGUUAAUUAAUGUCUUAAUUACAUGUAGUAAUAAGUAACCACACCUAUUCGAAAAUUACUGCCGUCAUUAAAAUUAUAGUAACAUAUUACGUAUGCUCGGACAUGUGUGGUAAUAGUUUACUGAUAUGUCAAAAAAAUGGGUAUGAUACGGACGACUUAAAACUCGUAAAUUGUUGUUGUAAUAGCUCAUUGAAAGUGAAUUAAUGCCUCAAUUACCUGUAGUGAUAUGUAACCACACCUAUUCAUAAAUUACUGGCGUCAUUACAGGUAUAGUAAAAUAUUACUUCUAUGACAGGGGUAGUCAUUUACUGAUAUAUCAAAGAUAUCGCUAAUCCCACAGGAUAUCCUUGUUUAUUGCACCCGGUAACCAAAUAACAUUACUAACAGCUUAAGGUGUGUAGUUUUAUAGGGAGUAAUAAAUAUUUAAUAACAAGAAUAAUGAGGUUACAUUGAUAUUGACAAAUCGGACAAACGAAUAUUUUAUACAUAAAUAAAUAUUUGAAAAGAUGAUAGUGGAAACAUUGUUGCCUUGUGUAGUAGUAAAUUACCUCUUUCAUCAGAAGUGUAGUCAUCUACGGAUAUAUCCAAACUAUCGGUAAGUUACGGACUACUUCAAACUUGUAAAAAGCUGUAAUAAGCAUAAAAUGUCGUAAAUUACCUCUUCUCGUAAUAGUGUAGUAAAAUUUUAAGCUGGUUAACAAGAAACUUUUAAUCAGUUACGCAUUGUUACUCCUAAACGAACAAAUUAAAAUUUUAAAAACUGAAUUCCUGAACUUGACAUACGAACUUUUUAGGUGCUUUUAACACUCAACGAGUUGGAGAGUAAUACGACCUUUCUUCGAAUGGAUAAGGACCAUGUGGCACCAUGCACUAAGUGAUUCUUUUCUUCUAUUGAUAUUUCUAGUACUUCAUUUCCUUUGUAACAUGACAGAUAUCCAUCAUUUUCAGUAAAUAUUCAUAGCAUCAAAGUAAUUUAAUUUUUCUUGUACCACAAUAUCCACCACCCACAACUAGAAGGAAAGAAAAAGAUCUAUCGAAUACGUAACAAACAUAUUCGGUGGAAUUUUUUCUGGCAGCAUGAGAAAGAUAGAAAAAAGGUCCCCUAAUGAAAGACAAGGAAAAAAAAGGCAAAGAAAAAGCAGAAGACGAGCCACUACCUUUCACCUUCCAGAUUCUCCACAUAAAAUCAAGCAGCUAAUAUCAAUACUAAUAGCUAACAACAAAAAGUGCAAAAUGGAGUACAUCUUGAAUACACAGAUUAUAUCUUUGGCACAAUUACGCUAUUAUUAAUAGUAAUAACGCUAUUAUCCUAUUCUUCUUCUUUUUUCGUUUCUUUACCUCAUUAAUGAUGGACUCCAGUCAAAAAUCCUGGGCAGAACUAUGAAGCAAAUGCAAAAAUCCCAGGAACAACCUCUCAUUGCCCACCAUUUCAACUUUAUAACACUCUUUUAACUUUGGGGGUUNNNNNNNNNNNNNNNNNNNNNNNNNAUUUGGCUUCCGCAACAAUUCAUACUUACGAAACUGAUUGAUCUUGUAUCAAUACCUCGCCUAACCAUCUAAUUUUGGUGAAUGCUCCAACAUUAUCUCUGAAGUCUUCGUUCACGACAUAAACAAACUCCUCCAUACCAUCACAGCAUGAGGGAUGCACAUAGAGCUGCUCCCCAUAUUAAGAGAAUCAAUUUUGUUGGUGAUGCCACGAGUCAGCCUACAAAACUUCCCUACUUACCAACAAGACUCAGUUGGCAAAACAAGAGAGCUAUGACUGGGAAGUGGGAACCAAUUGGAAGGUCUAAGGGCAGCCAAGAUGAAGGCAAGGAAGGGCAAUGGCAAGUACAACUUCCAUUCCAACUGCUAUAAUCACUCUCCUCAUCCUUUGGAAUGUUUGAAAGAACAGAAACCACAACCCCAUCAUCAUCCCAAGGCAAUAGAGCAGUUAUCCGGGAUAAUCGCUCCCAUCAUCUUGUAGUGUUAUUUUUAUCCCACAUUGAAGGUGGGAUAACAAUUCCGGAAUAACUAAUUCUGGUAUAAUUAAUCCCGGAAACUUGCCCCAACCAAACGAGCCCAAACUGAAAAAAAGAAGCAUAAAGACAAAAAAAAAAAAAAAAAAAGAAACAGACAAGUCCCACGUGUGUCAUAUGUUUCAAAGUCAGUGAACAAUAAACAAAGAAAAGUAUAUGGGGAACCAAAUAUUAAAGUAAUACACUAAGUGUCCCCCUCAAUAAUACACCAUGUCAAAAAUAUUCUAUGUCCCACAUUGGUACUACAUUCCAAUUCCAUUAGUCAAAACAAACAAAUUUAGAAUCUUAUCCACAUAAAAAAAAACAAUAUAAGUUCCUCUUACCUUGCUCAAAAAUAACAAUACAAGCAUGGACCACAAUAAUUUAAAGCCCUAAACCACCAAUCAUACUGAAAUUACAUACCAUGCUAUUUAGUCAUACAUUCACGCCAAGCCUUACAGAUUGGAUUAUGCAAGUCAAGACAAGGAGAAGCCUUGCGGUCUCUGAGCUCUUCUGUUACUGUUUUUGGACAUGAUUCACACUUCAUCACCUAUUAUAGAAGAACCAUCUUUUAUAAUAAUAAAAAUAAUAACAAUAACAAUAAUAAUAUUAAUGAUAAUAACAAUAAACUUAAGUGAAUCGAAAGAAAAUAUCAGAUAGACUGAAUUUCAGACUAAAGAUUUGAUAAGCAACUAAUACCGUGCGGAGGAGAAAAUGCGUCAAAUAAGGGUAAUCGUUUGUCAUCCUAGUCAUAUAUUCAUGCCAAGCCUUAUAGAUUGGAUUAUGCAAGUCAAGACAAGGAGAAGCCGUGCGGUCUCUUAGAUCUUCUGUUACUGUUUUUUAACAUGCUUCACACUUCAUCACCUAUUAUAGAAGAACCAUCUUUUAUAAUAAUAAUAAUAAUAAAUAACAAUAACAAUAAUAAUAAUAAUAAUAACAAAUAAAUAAAUAAAUAACUUGUGUGAAUCCAAAGAAAAUAUCAUAUAGACUGAAUUUCAGACUAAAGAUUUGAUAAGUAACUAAUACCGUGUGGAGGAGAACAUGCGUCAAACAAGGGUAAUCAUUUGUCGUCUCGUCUGAUGUGUUUCCUUCAUUCCUAUGUUCAGAUGUGCUUUGCUGUUGUUCGGACGUGUUUCCGACAUUCUGUUAUUUUGGUGAUUCUCCCACAACAUUAUCCGAGAGAGUGCAGGCGUCACACUUUCUUAGCUGUUUAGAAAAACAAUAAUAUGAUGAUAAUUAUGUGAACUAACAAAUUCCAGAUACAACUAGAGGAAAAUCAUUGUGAGUUUGUGUAGUACUGAAUUUGACGAAUCCAAAACAUUCCUUAUGUUGAUCGAGCUCCUGGUUUCACCUUUUAUCAUAGGUGAUAAUGGCAGCUUUUGAGACUACAGCAUUUAGACUGUUACUCAAUUUCAGCCUUCGGUCAGCUAAUGCCUGUCAAAAAACUCAAAAUAAACAACUAAAAUGAGUUGCAUAUCUUAGUCAAAUUAUGGGCUGAACAUUUAUUUGAGAUUAAUUUGGUUCUGACCUCCAACAGUGGCAGACAUCCUUGCAAAUAGGUGACCCGAUAUUCUUUAAAUUUCCCAACAUAGUCAAUGAAGAAAUCAUAGAUAGCCUUCCCCAAUUAUGUUUCUCAAAUUCAUCUACUGAACUCCCAAAGUACGCCAGGGGCCAGAAUGACAAAUCCAGUUUGGAUUGUGGAAAGAAAAAAUAGAGAACAUGUAGCAUAUACAUAAUCUCAAAAAAUCAUCCUUCCAACCGUCAGCAUCCGUGGAAAACUCUCUAAUUUUCUCGAGGGCAUCCUUCCUAGAGAGUUUUCCUAAAUCAUGUUCAGGAAAAUAUUUUGAGUAAUAAAGUUGACGCGUUGCUUUCUUUAUCACUCAAUCAAUGAAUGUUAACAUGUUUGCCCACACAUUCAAAGCCAAGGCAAUCCUGCACCUCCUUCCUACAAAAUGACAUUCUAGAACCUCCAAUAUCAAAUGAUUUCAAAAGGAUAUCAAACCUCUUAGUCGGCUGCUCAAUUAAACCCAGACCAAUUAAACGCUCACGUAUGUCGAGAUAAUGCACAAAGAUUGUGCCUUUCAGAGCAUUUAACUUCGCAUCAUUUUCCUUUAUAGCAUCCAUUAAAAGUUUCAUACACGAGAAGGAGCACCUAGAUUGCAUAGCUCCCUUGCCUCUGCCCCUAAUUUUGAAGAGGAGCAACACAAACAAUAUUUGGUAACUUCAAUGUGACAUGAUAUCUUCAUUAAAGAAGUAUUAAAACUCUUCCUACGUAUUUCUAAUUGUGUACUUCUUAGAUUUAUUGUUAACGUACCUUUUGUUGUUGUUCUUCUUCUUAGGAGUUUUUCUAGAUAACAAAGAAAGGUAAAUAAAAUGAACUCUACGAUUAUAAAAAAAAAGUAAAGAAUAAACAACUAGUUCAGCACAAACAAAGAUUCUAUUCAAACCAAACAAAUAAAGUGCGAUAGCAAGGUGUACAUGGCCAAAACCACCACUAUCUUUACCUACAUGACCUUGGAAUACCUUGAAACAAGGUGUUCGUAUCUUCCAUAUUUAGUUUUUGUCUCAUUUCCCUAUAACAUAAUUAUGAGAUAAUCCUAUCCCAACAUGUUUUACCCCAACAACCGUAUCCUUAAGUCUUGGUUAUACAACAAGUCCCAUCACAUUCUUGUUCUAUCGAUCCUAAAAUACAAUAAUUUAUAACCUGUGUUGCUUAUCUUUCUAGCCCUUUGCCCUGUCUGUUUAGCUUCCUGUAGGCAUACGGUAUGAACUCUUCUCCUUUGUAAGGUACCCAAAAUACCAUCAACUUCCUGUCAAGGAGCCUAUGUUUCAGCUACCUACCCGAAUCUGUCUCUCAUGGACUAGCUUAUUUACCGUCAUCCGUGCACGAACCGAGAACCCUUUCUUAUUUCGCACUACAUCAGGCACUGAAAUAUAUUCCUGACAAAACUCUUUGUAUAAUUUAAGAGUUGAAGAAAAUCUAAACGGAAAAAGCAAGAAGACCCAGUUGAACAUUCUCAAUGUCUGACAAUGUGGCAUCCUACUUCUUUUCAUUAUCAAGAGGUUCCCUAGAUAUUAAAGAGAAAACAAAGAAAAAAUAGGAACUACGAUUAUAAAAAUUAAAGUAAAAAAAAAAACUAGCUCAGCACAUAUUAAGAUUCCAAUCAAUAAACAAACAAAUAAAGGGGUGUUCAAUGAUGAUCUCUCACAUAUCAUGUGCACAUGAUACUCUUAUUAUGUGCGACGAAAACGCUGGACAACGACUAUAUAUAAAUCAUAAGCUACAGCUAAAUGUUAUUGGGUGAAAACUCUCUUUUUAAAUAUCUGUUAGCUACAGCUAAAUCAUAAGCUAGAGAGAAAUAUAGGACAACCUUUCCUUCAUUAUUCCUACUGCCAUAACCAUAUUCCCUGUGUCAUUUACCGAAAAUCGUCACUAUCUUUAUCUACAUGAAGAUCUCCCCCAAUAAAGAUAAGUUGGUCGCAGACACUUAGUUUUAGCUUCUGCAUCUAAUCCAAUUUGUGGAGCAUAGGAAACUAAAAACAUUGAUUGUCCCAUACCCUAACCCCAACUUGCUUAACCUCAACAACCUUAUCCUUAAGUCUUGGUUCUACAAAUUCCCACCACAUUCUUGUUUUUAUCAAUCCUAAAUACAAUUAUCUAAAUAAGAAGUGUUGCCUAUCUCUCUAGCCUUUUGUCCUGUCCAUUUAGUUUCAUGUAGGCAUGCGAUAUCAACUCUCCUCCUUUUUAAGGCAUCACUAAAACAAGAAACUAAUUCAACAGAAAAUAAGAUUCUAAAUCAAUAAGCAAACAAAUAAAAGUGAGAACAUGUAUAUGUGUAUGUGUCUAUCUGCGGAAGUAAAUCAUAAAUUCAAUUUCUAAUUUUGUACACAGUAAAGUUAUUGUAAAAGUACCUUUUCCUAGAAGAAGCAGCAGCACCACCAUCUUUCUCUUUGGUAUGAAUAUCAUUAUCACCAAUGUUUUCCGAAGACAAUGUGACCUUCUUCUCUUCCUUAUGAUGUUGUUCGCUAGAUCUAAAAGAGAAACAAAGAAAAAAUAGGAUACGAUGGUUAUAAAAAAUAAAGAAGACUAGUUCAGCACAAAUUAAGGUUCCAAUCACAAAACAAACAAAUAAAGUGUAACACCCCAUAUUUUCGUAAGUAAAAAUAUGUCAUAAGUCAAUUGAUGUAAGCUCGGAAAUGAAAUCAUCUUUGGAAGUACAUAAAGUAAGUUACUCAUAUUACCAUGGAGGUUACAAAUAUUUAAGAUCAUGAACUGCAAGUAUCAAGAGGUCGGAAGGUUUAGAAGCUAAACGAAUCGAAGAAAAUGAGUUUCGUUGAAGUAGGCAGAGGUCCUAGGUUUGAGUCUCACCGCCACCCAUUAUCAAAAAAAGAAUUUUCACAUACUUGGCUCAUAAAAAAGAAUCAAACUCGCACGUGAGGGGUGUAUUGAGACAUAAUUAAGGAAAUAAAAAUGUGCUCUUUCUAACAGUUUAAACUUUUAGAUGAGAUGCUCACACACUUCAACUGUGAUAAUCGUAGUUAUGUGCAUAUUAUUAUUGUUGAUAUGAUAUAUGUACAGAUUUUUUGAUAAAAAUGUCAUUAACGUAUCAUGACUCUAGCCACGACCUUAUUAGGGACGGUCUAUAAUACUUACUGAGUACUCCUCGUACCCUCCCUUCUUUCUUUCUUUCUUUCUUUCUUUUUUAUGCACUUAUUGCGGAUAUCGAUCCUAACACCAGCGGGCCUUGUGGUUUGUUAUUUGUAUGAGCUCCAGUAUUGCGGUAUUCAGCUGUGAGCCAACCGCUCUAGUUUUGUGGUAGCUGGGAAUUUCUUUAUAUAUUAGCUAUUGUGAAUUCAAAUUUUAUUAUGUACUCUUAAACUCGUAGAUGCUCUUAAUUUGGUAUGGGCCUGGACUUACUUCUUGUCCAGUGUUGUGUUUGGAGGUUGUUCACGAAUUAUCUAUCUUAUCAUGUUUAAUUAGAUUUAUAUCCGUUUUGUUUAUUCAUUAAAAAUCUAAUGAAUGAGUCGAGAUUAAGGUUGAAUUGUUCGGCAAAGAGGUUGACAGGUGCCGGUCAUGAGUCCCCGCAUUUUGGGUCAUGAGCAGCAAAAAAAAGAGACUCACAACCUUGAAGUCCCGGUAAUUUAGGUCGUAAAAAGUAAGAAAAAAGACUCGCAGUUCAGAAGAGAUGGUACUUAUUUGGGGAAGACUUGAUAUUAGUUGACAGUGCUUUAGAUGCACUUCAUACUUAUACCAUGUCCCUUUUUCCUAUACCAAAGAUGGUGGAGAAGAGAACAGAUAAAUUGGGGUACGAAUGUUUGUGGCAAGGAGACAUGGAUAAGAAGUCUUUUAAUUUGUUUUACUGGAAAAGAGCUACCAAUGGCAAGAAGGAAGAUGGUUGGACGUUAGAAAUCUAAGGGCGUGCAAAAAUAGUCUUAUCAUGAAGUGGCUAUGAAUGUUAUGCAGUAAGGAGGAACCUCUGUGGAGGAAAUUAAAUAGAGAGAAAUACGAAUAAAAUUCUUGAACCACAGCAAUACCAAACAUUCGUAUAGAGUUGGAAAUUGGAAGUGUAUCAGAAGCUUAUGAAACACACUCAGAAUAAGUUCAUAUCAUAGUAGGUAAUGGAAGGAAACUUAUUUUGGAAAGAUAGAUGGAUAGGACAGAUGUCCCAAGAAGAACAAUUCUCCAGCAUUUUUAGCAUAGCAAAUAAUCACAAUGCAAUAGUGGAGGUGUACUGGUCUACGCAAGGAUAGAACCUAUGCUAAGAAGAAGGUGCAAUGACGGGGAGAGGGAGGGUUUCCAACAGCUAAUUCAACAAAAAUUAAGAUCCUAAAGUACUAAACAAACAAAUAAAAGUGAAAUCAAACACACGCGUGCACGAAAGUCAUUACUACUGCACCUUUUCAGAGUAGCAGCAGUAGCAUCAUUCAAUUGCAGAGCAUCAAUCAUUUCAUUUUCUUCAUUCCUUUCCACCGCAACAGCAGCAUUCAUUUUUCACAUUCUUUUCCCCUGCGACUUUCUUCCUUCUCUGAGAUAUUGUAGAUCUGGAAGAGAAGCAAAGAAAAAAACAACUAAUUCAACGAAAAUUAAGAUUCCAAAACGACAAAAAGCAAAUGAAAGCGCGACAACAUUGGCAUCAGAUAUAACCCAGCCAACAGAGGAAAGCAAAUAAUUCAAUAGUAAUUAAGCUGAGAAAACAAUGCAUAUACCUUUAUUGGCAGUGUAUAACAAUGAAAUAUAUUCUUGGCAGAACUCUGGUAUAUUUUAGAUCUUGAAUAUAAUCAAAGAGAAGACUACUAAUUUAACAGAAAUUAGAUUACAAAUCAAUAACUAACAUAUAAAACUGAGAUAGCAUGGAUAGAGAUGACCAACCAGCAAAUUAUUGUAAAUGUGCAAUUUGAGAAGUAUACCUUACUGUUCUCCUGUUGUAUUGCUGAAAUGUUUUGUAGUCCAUCUCACAAUUUUUCUUCCUGAACUGACUUCUUGUUUGCACUGACUUCUUGUUUGCACCAACAUCGCUUCCUAUUGAUGAGAUGACGGUUAACAUAAUGAUUACAUAUCAAGCUAAAUGGUAUAAAUUUCUAUCUAUACUUACAGAAAAUCAAUCUAUUACUAAACAUCGGGCUGUUCACUAAAAAUACUUACUUUAUUACAAUUUUGUGCAUAUAUUGUAAACCUUUUCAUAGAUUAUAUUUUCUGUCGAGUAGUAUUAGAUUUGAGCUUAUAUUCUCUAACAUAAGCCUAAUAAGAAUAAGUCAUGACUCGAGCCUGAGUCUUAAGUCCAGCAACUUGAGCCUUUUGACCACGCGAUUGGUUUUGUUCAGUCAAGCACAUUUAUGCCUUUUGGGGCACUUGAAUUUGAGAAAGCUCAUAUGCUCUCAUAGUCUCAUUCAUCUAUGUUGAAUUAGAUGAUGAUAUAAUACAACAUAAUGUUGCAAAAACUUUUCUGUUCCAUCUCGAAUCACAAUUUCAGAAACCCACCAAUACAAAUCUGAAUGAUGCAACACUUGCAGAAGCCACAAACAAAUACAUCUGAGUUAUUUCUCAUAUGAGAAAGCUUAUAUCCUAAAAUGCAUGUCAGAAUUAGAUGAUAAUACAAUAGAACAUAAUGUUGUUAUCACUUUUUUAUGUCUAUCUCUACUUACAGAAGCCCAUUAAUAUAAAUAUGAACUGUGGGUGUGUUGUUGUUGUAUGAACGGUGCAACAUCUACAAAGUCAUCAAUAUAGACAGCAAAGAUAAUUCAUGCUUGAAAACCACCAACAACAAACCCGGUAUAAUCCCACAUAGUGGGGUCUGGGGAGGGUAGUGUGCAGGGGCAGAUUUAGGGGGGUGGAAGGGUGUUCACCCGAACCCAUUCGCCAAAAAAUUACACUGAUAUAAAAGGCAAAAUCUGUUUUGUUUUUACCUCUAUAUAUUAUGUUUUGAAUCCCCUUUACACAACCCAAAAGAAUAGCUUAGUAGUCAAGGGGGUUCAAAACAUUUGUAAGGUCAUUAGUUCUAUUCUCACUAGCUACAACCUUUCUAACUUUUUCCUUUUUUGAACCUCCUUGGCGGUAAUCCUGCCUCCAUCACUGGUAGUGUGUACGCAGCCUUACCCCUACCUUAUGGAGAUAGAGAGGCUCUAUCCAAUAGACCCUCGGCUCAGAGAAGCACAAGCACCACAUUAAAUAAGAGAAAAACAAGAAUCACAACAGAGAGAAGCCAUGUAAAAGUAGCAUAAAUCACAACAAAUAAUGAGAAGACCGCAAUGAAAGAAAUGACAGGUAGUCAUAGAAAUCUAAUGCCAACAGAAUACUAAAGUACGUGCUAAUACUACCGGUAUGACAAGGAGAACACUAAACUAACUACCCUACUACCUUAAUCUUCGACCUCCACACCUUCCUAUCAAGGGUCAUGUCCUCGGUCAGCUGACGUUGCGCCAUGUCUUGUCGAAUCACCUCACCCAAAUUCUUCUUCGGCCUACCUCUACCUCUCCUUAGGUCUUCCAAUGUCAACCUCUCACACCUCCUGACCAGAGCGUCUGUGCUCCGCCUCCUCACAUGUCCUAACCAUCUAAGCCUCGUUUCCCGCAUCUUGUCCUCAAUUUGGGCCACACUCACCAUGUCUCGAAUAACUUCAUUCCUAAUCAUAUCUAACCUAGUGUGCCCGCACAUCCAUUUCAACAUCCUCAUUUCUGCUACUUUCAUCUUCUGGACAUGGGAGCUCUUGACUGACCAACAUUCAGCCUCAUACAACAUAGUUGGCCUGACUACCGCUCUGUAGAACUUACCUUUGAGUUUUGCCGGUACCUUCUUAUCACAGAAGACACCAAAAGCAAGUCUACAUUUCAUCCAUCUCGCCCCAAUACGAUGUAUGACAUCUUCGUCGAUCUCCCCAUCUCCUUGUAUAAUAGACCCAAGGUACUUAAAACUUCCUCUCCUAGGGAUGGCUUGUGAAUCCAGCCUCACCUCCCCUUCCCCUUCCACUUCCUGAGUCAUCCCACUGAACUUACACUCCAGGUAUUUCGACUUAGUCCUACUCAACUUGAAACCUCUAGAUUCCAGGGUCUGCCUCCACAUCUCUAACCUCGCGUUAACGUCGUCUCGCGUCUCAUCAAUCAAUAUAAUGUUAUCUAUAAAUAACAUGGACCACAGUACCUUCCCUUGGAUGUGGCGCGUCAAUACAUCCAUCGCUAGGGCAGACAAAAAAGGGCUAAGAGCCGACCCUUGGUGCAACCCCAUCAUGACCGGAAAGUGAUCUGAGUCCCCUCCUACUGUCCUCACCCUGGUCUUAGCUCCCUCAUACAUGUCCUUAAUCGCCCUAAUAUAAGCAACAGGUACACCUCUAGCCUCCAGACAUCUCCACAGGACCUGCCUCGGUACUUUAUCGUAGGCCUUUUCUAAGUCGAUGAAAACUAUAUGCAAGUCCCUCUUCCUCUCCCUAUACUGCUCCAUCAAUCUCCUAACAAGGUGAAUGACUUCCAUAGUCGAGCGCCGCGGCAUAAACCCCAAAUGGUUCUCGGAAUAGACAUACUCCUCCUCACCCUCAGCUCCACCACCAUCUCCCAAACUUUCAUGGUCAUGCUUGAAAACCAAUGAAACUAUUUCUUUACACCGGAAAAUAGAAAUUGUCGUAAAAAAAUUCAUACAUUACAUCAAUGUUUCAUAUAUGAUGAUGUGGCAUAGCACAUACUAGACCUUGUUGUAAUGUGUAAAAAAAACAGUAACAUCACAGUAACAGGAAAAUAAAAGCUAACCUGAAUGUAAGGAUUUCGCUUCAUAGUUACUUUCUUGGGUAAUUUCUCAGCAAGCGUUGGCCAAAAUGCACUUAAUUCAUCACGUACCUGAAGACAUAUAGUUUGGUUUCUCCUAUUAGAAGAUGUUGCACAAUGAAACUAACGAUUUAAGCAUCAAAUCAUAAGACCAAAUAUACUACUUCCUCUGUUCCAUUUAUUGUGAUGCUAUUUUCUUUUUACUAUAUCCCAAAAAGAAUAACACAUUUCUAUAUCUAGAAACAAUUUAACACAUUUCACUCGCCACGUGGAUUCAGAUGGAUUAGCCUCAGCCUCAGAAGUCCCAAGGAUUGGUUUUUUCUGUAGUAACACUUCAAUACAAGCAAGGACAGAUUUUGCAGUAGAAUCAAGAUCAUAUCCACCUUCAAGUGCCAUAACCAUCCUGCCUCCCACCAACUCCAUUACUAUAUGAUAAGUAUAUUAAAGUAAGUAAAGUUCCUAGGACAGUCACAUUAUGGAAACCAAAUGACAUGUAAAAGAGAGAAGAAAGAGAAUCAGAAGAGCUCAUUUUUAGAUGCAACUGGAGAAUGCAGGAGAAAAGACCGACAGAGGACUCGGAAGUAAAGAAGAGACGUAACUACUAACUAAAAUCACAGUACUUAUAACAAUCACUUUGAGCUCACCUUGUGCAACAUCAUAGAAUACCCAUACGGAGUAACACAACAUUCACCAAGAGGAUCGCCAAUAGCUGCUCACAUCAUAAAAAUAACACCAUAAGAGUAAUAAAUCAAGCUAUAUAGACGAGAGCAAAGAAGAGAAAGUUGUAGCAAUGAUUACUUCUAAAUAGAUUAUCAGAAAGAAAAUAUGAGUAAUGUAGAAUGUUCUUUUAGGGAAUAAAGGCAUGUCUCAUGUUGCCAAAUAUUUUACACCUCUUAGCUAAGCAGGAUUUCAUAAAUGUUAAACAGUUAAAGGAUAAGAAAAGAAACAGCAUGUGCAUAAGAAAUCAAUUGCUGAAAGUCUAUAUGAUAAGAAAUAGAUGCAUCAUAAUUUCUGCACAGUAUAGGUUUCAGCAUUAACCGCAAACCAGUUAAUGAAAAAGGCUUGCUACCCCCCCCCACCCACACACACACACACACAACCAAAGGGAAGUCAAGUGGAUUUCUAUCCAUACAUAAGCAUGUGUUCCCAUAGUACUGGUUAUGCGGAACAAAUGAUAGACCGAAAGAAUAAAUUAGGCAACGGCCAUUGUUGAUUACAACAACAGGGCAUAACAAAAAAGGUCCAUUAUGCAGAACCCUUCAGUUUCCAUGUAUUUGUAAGCCUUAUCCGGUUUAUAUCUCUAAACUUCCCGAAGGAUCCAGCUUUAAAUCAGAAAUGUCUAUAUCAAAUCAUAAGGGAGAAAAUUUUGAAGAUGUCAAAGUUUAUUACUGCUGCAGCAAAAGAUGCAAAUCCCAAAGUGCAAUAUUUUCAAGGAUAAGAAGUGACGAAGCCUGCAGUAGAUACAAAUUACAGAUACAAUAAACUGUAUCAAGUGGAAUAUGGAUAGUUUGAUCAACAAAUAUCAAUGCCCAAAAAAUUGAAGCUGUUGUAAGAAAAUGCUUUUAUAAUCAAGCAUGUAAAAUUUAAAAACUUGAUAACUGAAGUUGCGAGAGAAAGGAGAUAAUAAAGGAAAAAAUAUACAAAUGGCCAGAAGAUCUCAACAGAUGUAUCUCCCAAGUUUCUACUUACCUGCAUCAAAUCCAGCAGAUAUCAUAAUCAGGUCAGGGCAGAAUUCUUUGGCAAUAGGAACUAAUAUAUUGUCCCAUACAGCAAGAUAAUCUGCAUCAUCACACCCGGCAUUCUCCCAAGGAACAUUUAUGUUGUAACCUGCUCCAGGCCCUUCUCCAAUCAUGACAUGUGAUCCGUCUUCACCAUCUGGAUAGAAACUUCCGGACUCGUGCCUAGUUGGGAUACAGUGAUACACCCAAAAAAAGACUUAGUUGGGACAGCUAAUGAUACACCAGACCCACAAAAAAGACUUAGUUUUGAUAAUUUAAGACAAUAAUUCAGCCUUCGGGUUUCGAGAAUAACACGAAGAGUAAAAGCAAAGAGUACAAUUCCCAAAUACGCUCAAAAUUCUUUCAGGAAGCUUUCACGUAUCUUGUUGUAUGAUGUCACAUACGAAUAGAAAAAACAAGUAAUAACUGAAAAUGUUACAAAUACCUAUGUACAGAAAAGAAAAGUACUCGAGGGUCCUUCCAGAACAUUUUUUGAGUACCAUUUCCGUGAUGAACAUCCCAAUCAACAAUCAAAAUCUUUUUAAUGCCCAGAUCAACCUGCAUGGUGUUAUUUAGCAUAUUAAAUCACAAUAUGUGCACAUUGCCACCAAACUAAUCAAAGAUCUGGAUGAGCUCUGACAGCUGAUGAUUAAAAAUUGCACUUACUCUUUCAUCCAAGAGAUAACUUGUUGCAAUACCAACAUUGUUGAACAGACAAAAUCCCAUUGGUUCAUCUUCUUCAGCAUGAUGACCAGGAGGCCUGACAAUGGCAAAGGCAGAAUCCAGUUCUCCUUCCGCAACUUUCUCAGCAACCUAUAUUGUGCAUACACCUAAGAUUAAAGCCCUCUAAAAUAGUAAUGUGUUGCAAUCCCUUCAAACCCCAAUUCUAUAACUGCAUCACCGGAAUCAGGAGUGAGAGGACUAGUUGUAUUGAUGAUCACAUUGUAGCAAGAAACAAGUUUCAUAAUCCAGUACCAAAGAGCUUAUAAAUGAUCAUGUAAAAUUGGGCAGAGGUUUUACAUCUGACACUGAUGCUCAUAAUAGCAGAUGGAUAAAACAUAGAAUGGUCCAGCUAAAAGGCUCUUGCAAAUAUUUUUCUUGUUAUCAAAAACAAUUUCAAAUAGAUCAUGAAACAGCAAACAACAGCAGAUUCCUUUAGUUCAAUUAGUCUAAAUUUGCAAGCGGAAAUGCUGCGGGUGGACGGAAUUAUUUGUAUAUCUGUCAUUUCUUUUGGGUCAGUUAACAAGCUAGAGAAAAGUGACAUCCAAUGAGACUUAUGCAUACAACAGAUUCUGAGUGCCAUACCUCAAUGACCGAACCAGCAGCAAGAUAAGCGGCUUCUGAUGAGCCUUCAUUGAAAUAUAUGGAAUUAAACUCCUCAAGAGUCCUCUUUCUUCUUGAAAAUUUCUCUGAACUUAUUUGUUUAAUCAAAUUAAUGUGACCUUUGGUGUGAACCAAUUCUAUAUCUUUAUCUCUUGCUUCCUUUGCAUUCAGAAUAAGGCAUCUGAAACAGAACAGAUCACUAAUACCUUUUAGAACGAAUUUACUUGAUUUACCCGCUACAUCGGACAAAAAUGGAAAAGAAAAUGAAGCGGAUCAAAAUACUUCAUGGAGAAUCCAAGAAUAAAAUAAAAUAAAAAACAGAUACAGUUAUACUCCAUUUUGUUCCAUCUUAUUGGCACUCUUCCCAUAAGAAUGACAUCUUUUUAUAUUUAGAAACUCUUUAACUUUAAACUUCUCCUUGUGCACUUAAUGACAUACUCUUAUAGCCAUAGAUAUGUCAUGGCAUGUUUGACCAUAAGCUCGUAGAGACUUUUGGAGUAUGUCAAAACUCUUUCUUUCUUAAACUUCAUUCCCCGUCAAACACCAACAUAUUAAAUGAAACAGAGAGAGUGACAUUUACAUCAAAAGAUUCAGGCUUUGAGUUAUCACCCUACAGAGAGAGGUUACUAAAAUCAUGUUAUGUGGGUUUCGCAAAACAUAACCUCCCAAACCAGAAAAAAAGACAAUCAGCGUAAAGAUAGUAAAUUAUGAUAAAUCCUCCGAAUGGACACAAGGAUUCAUAUAACUUCCAACUUGUUCGGAAUUGAAGUAUAGUUGAGAUAGUGGGUUGCUAAGCAGAUAACAAGGAAUUACAAGAAAAUCACCAAAGACAUAGCCAGUCUGUGACUCAGUUCAUAAGAUAGGCAUGUUUGAGUCUUAAGUUAGCACCAACACAUAAAAUAGACAUGUUUUACAAUAAAAAUUAAACGGAAUUUAGGAAUAAAAAGCUCAAAAUGAUCGAACACUAUGGAUGUGUUUGGUAUGGAGGAAAACAUUUGGUCAAAAUAUCUUGGAAAACAUUUUCUCUAGGAAAGCAAGUUCCUUAAAAAUCAGAAAAAUAACUUCCUUGGUGAGAGUAUGCAAAACAAGUUCUAUAAGUGACAUUCCACGCCCAUUGUCUCCUCCAAACCCUACCCUACUACCCCUGCCACUCCCCAACCCCGUCUGAUCCCACCUCCACGGGGCAGAGGAUCCAGUACAUUAAUUAUGGGUUCCCGUGAACCCAAUAACUUUUGUCUAGACCUUGUAUUUGUAUUGAAAAAUUUAUUAAAUUUAUAAGAAUAUUUAAUGUGGAACCCAGUCCGUUAAUCCAAUUAUUAUUGUAUAUUAACUUGAGAUUUCCAUAGGAAUCCAUAAACUUAAAAUCCUGGAUCUGCACCUCCACCUCCACCACAGCCCCCAUGCUCACACCCCCACCCACCCCACUACAUCCCCAUUGUUUUUCCUAAAUUAUAUUUUCUGCUUACUUGUUAAACACCAUAAAAUAAGCAAGAAACUCACUUAUUUUCCAGGAAAACAUUUCACAUUUUCCUAGUGGAAGACAUUUCCCUUGGUCAAACACGCCAUGUUCUCGCCAAUCGUAAACAUACUAUCUUCCAAAACUAGCUUUUACAGCCCAAUUAACAAUUCCGAGCACUCAGAACACUGUAGAAUCACAAUAUGCAGCUUAAUCAUAGCAUAAUCACGCCUCACAAACCCUAGAUGAUCUCAUGCAAAACCCAAAAAAAAAAAAACAAAUCAGGUGAGGAUGUAACAUUUAUCUUGAGUUUAAUUCUCUGAUUACCUAUUAGUAACUCCGGAAUACUGGAGCUUUUUCCAGAUGGCACGGAUACGAUUAGGGCUUUCGGGAUGGCGAUUAUCGUCUGUGCAUGAAUGCUUACACAUUCCCUCGUCGUAUAUCAACCCAACCCGACGAUCCCUGCUUUCUUCAAUGUUAGUAUUCACCCCCAUUGAACAAUGCAGUGAUGAAAAUUAGUGGAGCUAGUAGCUACCUUCUGGCUUCUGCUGAUAUUAAAUGAUUCACUCUUUUUGUAAUCCUUUGCUUGAGCACUAGAAAUCAAAUGUCAGUCUUUUGCAUAUAUCAAGCCCACUGUUUGAAAAACAGGGCGAAGAUUGUGUAGAGAAUAUAAUCAAAUUGACAUGCAUUAAUAAUGUGACAGAUUUUCGGUCUUCUUCUUCUCCGUCGAUUUCGAGUCUCCUCUUUACGAUGCUUUUUCACAUGUCGUAAAUAUGUUGCGAAAGCAAGUAUUAUGUCCGAUAUUAUAUGGUAUGAUUAUCAUUAUUUUGGGAAUUAAAUAACUUUUUUACAAUUGUAUCAAAGUAUUUUUCAAAAUUCUUUUAUUAUAAAAUUUUACACAACAUUAAUAUCUUAUCUUUGAUCAAAUAUUUAUGUAUGUGAUUAGUUUUUGGAAACGUGCAUUGCACCUAUAAACUUCUUAAAAUAACAUAAAUAUGUAUCGUCUAAAUGUUUAUAUAAUUAAUUAUAUCACAAAUAUAAAAUUUUAUUAUUAUGAACAACUUAGUUAAUUUAACGAAAAGAAUAUGUCAUUACUUUUAUUACUGUGUAGUGAUUGAAUAUUGGCUUGGCAAAAUUGCAAAAGUUUCUAAAGUCUUCAGUUUGCUUUGUUCAUGUACCUAUUAAAAAGGUUCUAGCAUAUGAAAUUUGCUUAAUGUAAAUAAUAAAAAAUAAUUAUAAAAUAAGCUAUACGUCUAGAAUUUCAAUCAAAUUUAUAUAAAGAAACAUUGGAGAAGAGAAGAGAAGAAAGAUUAUUUAGAAGCUUUUGGAUGGAAAGGAAAAAAAAAUGUAGCAUUAAACCCUCCUUGUAUUUUAUUUCAUUUAAGUGUUUCUGAACAUAUUAUUUCUUGUAAUAUAUAAUAAUAUUUAUUAAUAACUUUAUAUAAAGGCUUGCACUUUACAAAGAAAGUUAAAAAUGAAAAAAUGAUAAAUAUUUUUUUAGUAUCAUGUUAUGCUUCACAAAUUGCAUCCUCAACUCUAUUGGACAAAGCUUUGUAUCACUUGUUACACCUACAACAAAAAUAUUCUUAGCUUCAACACAAGUUGGGGUUCAAAAUAUUAAUAUUUCAUAUGAAUCCAAAUUAAUAAAUUAUCUUGAGUAAUAAAAUAUAGAAAACAGAAUGAAAAUAAUGAUGUUUUUUCCUUAAAUAGAGCACUCUGAUACUCAAUGCAAGGAAAGAUGGCAAUAAUAAUAAUUUUACCUACUUUUUCCAUAAUAGUUACAAUAAAAUGAUCUCCAAAUAAAUAAAUAAGUUCUCAUGAUUCCCGAGACAUAUCAUAAAAAGUGACAUAAACACUUGAAGUGCUAUUGCAAACUACUGCUACUACUAAUAAUAAUAAAAAAAUAGAGAAAGUAUUAGUUCAAUAUAUAAGCAUUGUGAUGAAUUUGCUAGCAGCAUGCAGCUAAAGAGAAGAAAUCUGAGAUGAAGAAUUGAGAGAAAUUUCAUAGAAAAGAGGAAAUGCUUUGUUUUCUGUACAAAACGUAAUGAAGGUAAAGAAGCUACUAAAGUGUUUUUAACUAACUAACCGCCUAAGUAAUGACAGUUGUACUUCACUAACUAUCUCACUAACUAUAGUUAAGUUAACUAACUGCAAUUAAGCUAACUAAGAUUAACCUACAUCCUUUACAUCCCCUCUCAAGCUAGGACUGGGAAAAACGUUGAGAAGUCCUAGCUUGGACAUCAAAUAUGAAUGUUGAAGUCGACCGAGUCCUUUUGUAAGGAUAUCAGCUUCCUGCUCUAUUGUAGCACAAUAGAAAGUGGAGACGAGGCCUUGUUGAAUCUUCUUACAGAUGAAAUGACAGUCAAUGUCAAUGUGCUUUGUGUGCUCAUGAAAGACAUGAUUGGCAGCAAUAUGAAGAGCUAAUUUGCUAUCAUUGUAGAUAGGCGCGGGGGAAUGAUGUUGCACUCCUAGCUCCUUGAGUAAGCCAAGGAUUUAUAUAACCUAUGCAAUAGUGGAAGCUAGGUUGCAAUAUUCAGCUUCAGCUGAGCUUCUAGAAAUAGUGGAUUGUUUUUUAGACUUCCAAGAUAUCAGGGAAGUACCGAGCUUAACGAAGUAGCAUGUAACUGAUUUGCGUGUAUUAGGGCAUACAUCCCAGUCUGCAUCACAAAAUGUUGAUAGUGAUUCGGAAUAAUGAGCAGUCAAGAGAACUCCCAAGUCAGGACUAUUCUUGAUAUACUUGACUACCUUAAGUGCAGCUUCCAUAUGAGAGACUUUAGGACUAUGCAUGAACUGGCUUAAACUUUGAACAGCUAAAGAAAUAUCUGGCCUUGUGAUGGUCAAGUAAAGGAGCUUUCCCAAGAGCCUUUGAUAUGGUCCUGGAUCAGUUUACAAUAUGUCAUUAGAUGAUCCUGUAUGAGUGUCAAAAUUCAGUCGUAGUAAGCUUCACAUUAGGUUCUAUAGGGCAGGAUACAGGCUUGGAACCUGAGAGUCCCAACUCAGCUAUGAGCUCUAGAGCAUAUUUGCAUUGGUGCAUUAAUAUACUAUCACUAUUUUGUGCAAACUCUAUGCCUAUGAAGUAUUUAAACUCUCCUAGGUCCUUGAUCUUAAAUGAGGAUUGUAAGUCAUCCUUGGUCUAUUGAAUCAUGACAAUACUAUCACUAAUGAUAAGGAGAUCGUUAACAUAUACUAGGACAACCACCAUGUGAUAUGCUGCUCUUUUGAUGAACAAGGAAUAAUCCAAAUGACUCUGCUGAAAACCAGCAUCCACCAAGGCUGGUGUUAGCUUGAGAUUCCAUUGUCUGGAUGUCUGCUUAAGUCCAUAGAAAGACUUAAGCAGUUUGCAAACUCUGGAUUUAUUUUUUGAUCCCCCUGAAACCUUGAGGUAUUUCCUAUACACCUCCUCAGAAAGAUCACCUUACAAAAAGAUAUUGUAAACAUCCAUUUAAUGAAUAGACCAUUGUCUUAUGGCUGCAAUGGACAACACACUUCUAACAGUAACCAUUUUUACCACAGGUGAAAAGGUUUCUUGAUAGUCUAAACCUUCUCCUCUGAUUAUACCCUUUAGCUACCAAACGAGCUUUGAACCUUUCUACUUCUCCUUAUGCCUUAUAUUUGAUUUUAUAAACCCAUUUGCAUCGUAUUACCUUCUGUCCCUGUGGCAAAGAUACCAAUUCCCAAAUCUUGUUAUCCUCUAGUGCCUUAAUUUCUGCCUGCGUUGCCUCUACCCAUCGCUUGUCCUUUACUGCCUCUGAAUAUGAUGUAGUUUCCACCUCAACUGAAAAGUUAGCCAAGUAGCUUUGAUACUUUUAAGAAAAUACUUCAUAUCCAAUUACUUCUGAGAUAGGGUAUCUGCAACAACUUGCAGAGUUUAGCCUGUCAUUUCUAACAUAAUCCUUAAGCCAUAUUGGAGGCUUAGAUACUCUAGUUGAUUUUCUUGUUUCCUCAGCAUGAGGUGGAGCAAAAGAAUUACGAGGACUAUCAAUAUUAUUAUGCUCAACAGAAUGUGGAAUGUCCUAUUCAUUUAAGGGAACAUGAGUCACAACAGGUGAACAUGGCACAUUGGUUACUUCAGGAUGAUUACCAGCAAUAGAACUAGCUACAUCAUUUGGUUCCUCAGCAAAAUCUUUUAUUGGCACUGGAGUCAUAUUCAAGAAUAAUGGUUCCGAUGAGUCUUCUAUUGUAUGAAAAGGAAAUAUAUCUUCAUAGAAUACUACAUCUCUACUUAUAAAGAACACUCUAUUUUCCAAAUCCAAAAGUUUGUAGCCUUUCUGAUGUGCAACAUUUCCCAGGAGGACUGACCUCAUAGCUCGAGGUGCAAAUUUAUCAUGACCUGUCAAGUUAGUAGCAAAACAUAGGCAUCCAAUUACCUUUAGAUGUGUCAGUGAAGGUAUCUUACCCAAAAGCAAUUCAUAUGGUGACUUACGUGCCAUAACAAAAGAAGGAAUUAUGUUGAUGAUGUACACAUCAGUAUCAAAUGCAAUGCCCCCCAAUAUUUAAUAGGUAAAUGGUCUUGAAAUCUAAUUGCUCGAGUAGUCUCGAGUAUGUGUCUAUGUUUCAUUUCCACAACUCCAUUAUGCCGGGAAGUAUAUGGACAGGAGCUUUGAUGGACAAUCCCAUGCAGUUGAAAGAAGUCACUACAUGCACUGUUAAAAAACUCACUCCCAUUGUGUGAUCUAAACAUUUUAAUUUGCUUCCCAAAUUGUGUUUUGAUCAUAGUAAUAAAGUUUUUGAGUAAGAAAGUAGCAUCAGAUUUAAGUCUCAUAAGAAACACCCAAGUCCAUAUGGUAAAUUCAUCAACCAAUGUAAGAAAAUAUUUUAUAGCAUUGCGAGUAGCAAUUUUAAAAGGUCCCCGCACAUCCAUAUGAAUCAAAUUAAAACUAUGUAAACUUCUGCUAGUGCUAGUUGGAAAAGGUACUCUAGUUUAUCGUGCUAGGGGACAAACUUCACAUUUAGACAUUGAAUCAUUAUCUAGUGUACCACUACAGUGUUAUAUACUAGGAAUCCUUCUGAGAACUUGAACUAGAACAUGUCCUGUUCUCUUAUGCCAUAUCUCUAUGCUUCCUUUACUAGUUGCUGCAAAUGCUGUAUUUAUUGUCUUUCCUAAUGCUGCUGGUAGUAGGUACAUACCUUCUUCCUUUCUACCAAUCUCCUUCACCAUCCCAGAUAAGAGGUCCUGAAAUACACAACAUUUAGGAAAGAAAGUAACACUGCAUUUAAGAUUCUCUGUCACUUUAGAAACUAACAUGAGAAUUGAACUUAAAGGCUAGUAACAUACCGCAUCUUUCAGUACAUCACCUCCAGUGAGCUGACACUCUCUUAUACGAGAAAUUAGUGCUGAAUCUCCAGUAGGUAAUUGCACUUCUCCUGAAUUUCCUAUUGAAGUUUUAUUUUUUAGUAAAUUUUGUCAUCAGUCAUAUGGUUAGUAGCACCGCUAUCUACUAUCCAUUUGCAAAGUUCAAAGUUUCACAUAAUGUUACAUUACCAUAAAAAUAUUUACCUGCCAUAUUGGCACUUGCUCCUGCAGUAGAACCUUUAUUUAGUAGUUGCAGCAAUUGAUUGUACUGUUCCUUGGUGAAGAAUUGAGCUGGUUCAACAUUGCUGCUUGGUUGAUAUGUGUUUUUUGUUGGUGAAAUUGUCAUUCCUUGUUGUCUAGUUGUGUCAAUCAUGAUUGCAUUUGCUUUCUUCUUCUGCUUGAAAUCAGGUGGAUAUCCAAUAAUUUUGUAACAAAUCUCCUUUAAAUGUAUUGUCCUGUUACAAAAAUCACAUUUCAUUAGUUUGUAACAUUCAUUUCUAGUAUGGUCUUUCAAAUGACAAAAAUCACAUUCUAAACUAUAGUUUCUCCUUGCUCUAGAUGUAGAAUGGGCGGUAAACAAAGCAGUAUGAUCAUUAUGCCCAACUUGCCCAUAAGUACCACCAGUAAUCAAUUUCCUACUUUCAUCCCGAACCACCAUAGCAUAAGCCUUAUCUAUAGAUGGUAAAGCUGGCAUCAAUAGAAUCUGGCUCCUUGCUUGCUCAAAGUUCUCAUUCAAUCGCAUCAAAAAUUGUAGCAGUCGUUUAUACUCCAAUUAAUCAACAUACUCAGUGGCUGAUGGAGGAGGUGACAUUAUCGAAUCAUAUUCUGUCCUGAGAUCUUUUAACUUGGUAAAAUAAGUCGAUACUGACGAAAUCCCAUGUAUUAAAGUAAAUAUUUCCUUGUGCAAGUAAUACAACCUCGAUGCUUUUGCUUUUUCAAAUCGCUCCUUGAAAGCAGCCCAUACCUUCUAUGCAUUCGAAGAAAAAAACACUCCUGUAACUAAAUCUUUGCUCACAUUGCUCAUGAGCCAUGUAGUCACAAUUGUAUUACACCGGUCCCACUGACUUCCCAAACUUGGACCAAAAUCUUCCUUCGAUGUCGAUCCACCAACCAAACACAAUUUGUUCUUACCUAACAGUGCUAUUCAUCGCACGACUCCAAAGAGAGUAAUUUUCCAUACAUGUUAAUACGAGUCCCGCCAACAUGGAUCCUGGACCAUCAGACGCAUGCAAAAAAAAAGGAUGAUUGUGAUCUAAAACAAUUGAACUAGGUACUACUCUGGUGUUCGCAUCAGCUCCAAUAUUCUCGUUAACAGUCAAAUUCUCAUGAAUCGCCAUUAAAAAUUGCAAAAUUAGGGUUCAAAGCUUCUAAACUUGAGUAGAUUCUCUCGAACUAUCUUCAAUUUCGCGAAGAAAUUCCCUAGAAUCACUCGAUUAAUGGCUCUGAUACCAUGAUGAAUUUGCUAACAGCAUGCAGCUAAAGAGGAGAAAUAUGAGAUAAAGAAUUGAGAGAAAUUUCAUAGAAAAGAGGAAAUGUUCUGCUUUUUGUACAAAAUGCAAUGAAGGAGAAGAAGCUACUACAGUGCCUUUAAUUAACUAACCGCCUAAGCAAUGACAGCUCUACUUCACUAACUAUCUCACUAACUAUAGUUAAGUUAACUAACUGCAAUUAAACUAACUAAGAUUAACCUACAUCCUUUACACAUUGCCUUUGCCGCGAUCUUUACAUCUCCAAAUUACCAUAGUUUUUGUUUUCAUUGUGUAAUGUUUGUAAUAACAAUUAUAAAGAGCAAAAAGAUAUAAAGGCAUUACGUGAGAGUGUAAAUCAUAUAAUUUCAAUAAAAUUGUUAAACUAUAUUGUGAAGGUUUUGAUCACCAUUAUUUUUUUCUAAAAUAUAUUUCAAUUGAUUUAAAUUUUAAUUUGCAAGAGUUUCCCAUCUGUAAAAUAUUUGCAGCUAAUUGAUUAUAGUAGUCCAUUGAAAAACUCCUACAUUGACUGCGAGACACCUCAUUACUGAUAUUUUAUAAAUCAACGUGCUAAUAAAAUUGCAGGAUUUUUUUGUUGACGAAAUUCAGAAAUAUACCCCUCUACCGGAAAAAAACCUUUUUUUUUAUAUAUAUUGUUGUUAUUUUUAAUACGCAUUUUUAUGGUACUAAUAUAUCAUCUCCUAUUGCUUUUUGAGCCGAGGGUCUCCUGGAAACAGCCUCUCUAACCUUCGGGGUAGGGGUAAGGUCUGCGUACAUAUUACCCUCCCCAGGCCCCACUUGUGGGAUUAUACUGGGUCGUUGUUGUUGUCGUAAUUUUUUUUCAACAGUAGUAAAAACGUGUUUACCAUAAGACAAAUAAGCUUUGUAAAUUAAUAUUAACGUUAUAUUGCCCCAUAAAUUGAUUCGUUAAUAGAAGUAGAGCUUUACUAAUAUGCUUUAUAAUAUCUUUAUACAUUUGACAAUGUAAGAUAAUUAUACGAAGUUUGAGCAAAAAUAUUCAAACCAUUAUACUUCAACUUUAGCAUUAAAUUAAUGAUCCAGUCAAACAUGUUAUAGCUAUAACUCAUUGUAUUAUAAGUAAUACGAUUCUUUAAUUUGAUUUUAUUUUAUCCAUAAGUAUACUCUAUAAUUAUUUUAACAUGUCUUUACAAAUAACUUAUGAAUAUUGACUAAUAUUUAGUUGUUAGUAACGUUUAUUACUGAUUGAAUCUCUUUCCCUAAUUUUGCACGAUUUGUCGGCAUACAAUUAUAAAUUCGCAUCAAAAUAACGAACCUUUUUAUCAUUUACCUACUAAUGUCUGUUUAAAUUAAUUGCAUCUUAUCGUAUAUUAUUUAAAAUAUCUAUAACUUAAAAACACACAUCUCAUCAUAUCAUUGCAAAUAAAUAAUAUACCAUUUAAAAUAAAAUUAUUUACAUAUUUAAGUAACAAAUCAAAAUUGUUUCCGUUUUUCUGCUAUAGACAGCACAAAACAUUUUGAGUAACCUUCCCCUCCACAUUACCUUAUAUUUAUUACUAGAUAAGUUUCGGCCCGUGCAAAAAUACGGGCCCAACAAUUUCAGUUUGAUGUAAUAGUUAGCCAAUUAAUUAGAGAUGUUUUUACUUUUUAGCUACUAUUUAAAAUGUAUUUACUUUUUAGUCAGUGCUUAAUAAUUUUUUAUCCGCCCGGAUAAAAAUACCUCAGUGCUAAACAUGGUUGAUGUAUAAAUAUUAAAGACAUGAUGUCCUUAACUUCAUGAAUGUUGUAUAAAUAUUAAGGACAAAGUGUCUUGUAUUUGCACAUUACGUUGUUAAACUUUAGGACAUCAUGUCCUUAACAUCAUUUGUGUAGUGUAAAUAUUAAGGAUAUGACGUCCUUAACUUCAUGUUUGCAGUGUAAAUAUUGAGGACACCAUGUCCUUAAUAUUUACACAAUACAUGAAGAAAGGGUAAAAAUAUUUUUUCGGGUUAAUUUUAAUAGAGUAGUGGUUAUUUUUGCUCAGCAUUCAAAAUACUAGAUAAAAACUAAAUAUCUUGUUAAAAAGUAGUUAUCCCACGCCAUUUCUACUCGUUUGUAUGUUGGAUAUUUGUGCAUUCCCUAAUUCCUAAUAGUAAUACAUUUUGCUAUUGUCUUUGUUUUAAAGAGCUUGUUUUAUUUCUUCCAAUUUCGAGCAAAGGUUUAUGUUGAAUGUAUUUAAUAGGAAAUGAAAUUUCAGUAGCUUUAUCCUAGAACAGUAAGAAUAAUCAUGGAAGCUUUUUUUCCUCUGCUCCUUUUGUUCUUCGAAUGUCCUCCUUUUUUAGGGAUUUACUUCUAUUUUCUUUCUUUUUAACAUCUCCUUUUUUUUUCGAGGACCCUCCCAUUUAACAACUUAACAUAAAUAUAGUGGGAAAUACUUUUUUCACUUUCCACUUAUAUUUUCUGAAAAGUGAAAGUGACGAAAUUACCAAUUUGCUUCGUUGAACUGAAACUUUUCUAACUAAAUAUAUAUUAUGAUAAAUUUUGCAACCCAUAUUGAGCUUAUUGAUACAAACAAAUAUAUAAAGAAAGUUUCUUUUUCUCUUUUAUUUAAUUGGAGUUUCAAUAUGUUAUCCGGAAAAAAUUUCAAAUCCAAAUUAAAAUGUACAUUGAUUGAACCUCCCUUUCUAGACUAAUUAAAUCCUGCUUAAGCCAUUCUUCGCCAAAAAUAUUUGAUAUUCAAGAAACUUCAAAAGUAUAACAAGCUACAACUUUUUUUUCAUUAAUAAAUAAAUAAGUAAUGAACUUAAUUAAAUGUAAACAUAACCUCGACAAUUUAAAAAUCAAAUUCUAAUAUCGAAAUGCUUGUAAACUUUCUUUCAAAAUAAGAUCGUACAAAAGAUAUUGAAAAUUUUAAUAAACAUAAUUUAUUAUUAUAAACAUAAAUUAAUGAGUUGAGCUUAACAAAAGGAAUGAAGAUUCAUAUCGUCGGCCCCAACUUAUUCAGGGCUAAUGUAUAAUAGUUGUUGUUGUUGUUGUUAUUGUUGCGUUUAACUUUUCUUGUCCUUCAAAAUGCAUGUUAUGAAAGGACAUUUUUCUCCAUUUUCUUGCUUUAGCCGGAAUCUUUUUAAUCAAAUUUGUAUUAUGCUAAAAAUUUUGAGUUAAAAAACCUUUAAUUGCCUAUUAAGAGUAAGAUAAAAUAUCAAGAUUAGACUUAAAAGAAAUAUUUAUAUUAAAAUAGUAUAAAAUUUAGGUGUGAUCAAGAAUUAGUUGUUCACGGGCAGUAUAAAAAGGUUCAAAAAUGAGGGUUCCAGGAUUUUUCACAUUUCUAACAUUUUUAAGAAAUACAUUGAUUAGUAUGUUCAUUUAUAGUGAUACUAUUUAAGUUAACUCGUAAAUAAGCACACUAAUUAAUUAAAAUUUUGAAGCUCUAGUAUAACAUAAAGUAACAUUUGAAUAAUAAAUAUAGCUUUGUCAACAUAUGAUACCAACAGAAUCUAUCAAGAAAAAUAUCAAGAUUUUGUGACACGAUUACAAGAAAUACCAAAAAAAUUAACAAUAAUUUAAAAUGUGAUAUGGCUAAGCAUACGUGAAAGAAGAAUUAGCCAAAAAACAAUCUACUGUAUCAACGAAGAGGCCAAAAAAGAAGGGAAGUACCAUAAUCUCAAUGCGGGGCCCACCUUUUCAGAUUGAAAUAGCCAAAGGCCAACAGUGCUUUUCCUGACUUGAGAGUACCAGAGUGGGAUCCACAAAGGGGCAUUUUUAGUCCGGGCACUCAAAAUUUAAUUCAGCGCAACCACAGUAAAAUUCCACUUGGACCAAUGAUAUUACACGUUUUUCAUGAAAUGACCAUAACGCCCUAGAGUUGCCAGGCAGGCAUAUCGUCCAGUUGCUAACUCCCUCUUAUUAGAUAGUAGAAUUAUUAUUAUUAUUAUUAUUAUUAUAAAAAGAAAAAGAAAACUCACGUUUGCUAUUAGAAAAGAAAAAGGUAACCUAUUUUUCUCUCUUUGUCCACAUUUAUGAUCACGUAAACCACAUUUUUGGAGGGAAAAUUUUAAAAGACCAAACAAUUAUUCCUAUACUAUAAGAUGCCAUUCGAUUGUUCAGAAAUUUAAAUUGCAAAAAUAUUUAAAAGGUUGGCUCCACUUGCUGCCUCUACGUGUCAGUAUGUAAUUGGAGAGUCACGCAAUUUCUUCCACGACCCUUCUGAAAAUGUACCAAUCGAAACACAAGCUCCGAACCUCUGGUUCGGAUCCGAACCAAACCGAAGCUUAGACUCGAGCCGAACCUAACCUCGCUCCACAGUAGUUCGUUGAAAAUUUCGCACUAUUUUCGAUCACUUUAUCUCUCUCUCUCUCCAAUCAGCUCGUUUUUUCUCUCUCUUCAGAGCUACCAUUUCCUAUCGUCGAUUGAAAAACCCUAGAAUUCGAAUACUCUAAGGAUCCAAGCUCCAUUGGUGUCAGCUUCAACAUUUGCGUGAGUUUAAUUUAUGAAUUUAUCUUCAGAUACUGUUAUAAAACCCUAGUUUUCUCUAUGCAUGCACCAAAUGUUUUGCAUUCGAUGGACACAUUUAGUGCUGGAUUUUUGGUGUUUUGAGGCUCUAGUACACUAAAUUUGCAGCUUAUGCUACCAUUUUGUUCUUAAUUGUUAGGUCAAUUUGUGUUUUUUUAAUGACAAUGGUGUCCGGCCCAACUUGCACUCAGUUAGAUUAUUUCACCGGGUACCUGCUACCUCCUAGUAGCAAACAUAACGAGUAACUCUGCCCACUAAGGCUUAGGCAGAUGUGAAAAAAUCACCUAGUUUUUUUGUCUUUUCUAGAAUUUGAACCUUGGUCUCCCGUGCUUUUCACUGCAUUGACUGCUAUGCCACAUCCUUGGGUGCUUAAGUAAAUCACUAUGUAUUUAUGUUUUUGAGAUUUUUUAGAUGAUGCUACCUUUUUAGGUUUUUGACAGAGUGUGAUUGGCAUUUAGCAAUAUGUUGCCCCUUCUAAUGCAAUGUGAAUGGGUGCUGAUCUGCUUUCGGCUCCAUUUUUGUAGAUUAUGUGGGCAUUGAACUUGGAAUCUGUCUUUUAAAUUUCUAUGUAUAGUUUUAUGUUGAUUUUACUUUGGAAUUAUCAUUCUUGGAACAGAAUGAGUUGGAAGAACACUGAUCUGAGAAUUCUCAAAUGUUCUCCGAAUUCUGAAUGGUUUUAUAAAAAACAACUCUUUUAGCUAGACAAGAAGUCCGCCAGUGGAAGUAGUAGCUAGAUUUACUUAGUUUGUUGUGCGAGGACUCGUCUCAUCCAUUAUUUAUAUCUUCAAGCUACUCUUUUGUGUCUUUAUCCCAACCCCCAUGAGUUCCACGUUAUUCUCUAGUGUCUAGAUUUAAACUUGAUGUUUUGAGCAGAAGUUGUGAUAGGAAAAAGACGUAAUAGAUUCUUGUAUAUAUAAACUUGAAGAAUCAAUUAGCACAAGAGGAGGUUGUUUUUGCAUCUUGUAACUUUUUGUGUUACCACUAGUCUGGAUAAGCAUUAAGAAAGGGUAUUAAGAGAACAUCUUUGUGCAAUGCCAUUAAAACAAUACAUAGCACUGUUUAGUAUGUUACAUGGACAAGGGUGCGGAUCUCUGAUACAGAUUUAUCAUCACUUAUUCACGUAAUUGUUAAGAUUCGAGAGUAUGGAUAGAAGUAUGGGUACCUGUGCUGAGAUAUUGGUAAUAGAUGUAUGCUAUUAUUUGCACAUACAUGCACACAGUAUAUACACAGUUAACAUAUUAGGAGUAGUAAUUAAUUGAAAAGCAUAGUUAUUUAUUAGGAGUAGUAAUGAAUUGAAAAGUCACUAGACCAAACAAGUGUUGAUAGUUUCUUUGCACAGUACCUAAUAUUGCAUUCCAUUAGUACAUCUCACGCAAUAGCAACAAUGAAACUAAAACCCAACCAACCGAUGGUUCUUGGCUAUGGUCGUAAGCAAUGCACACUAAGUAAAUUGAGCAAAUCUGGUGCAUAUGCCACAUAACUGCCAAUCUUUUCGGAUAGACACUUGGCGGGGAAGCAGGUUUUGGAAGAUUCUUGUAACAUAGCUGUAAAUUUGAUACUCGUUUUCUUGGAAAUUGGAAUAACUUAUGGUUCUUACAUUCUUUGCUUGUUGUAUUUUUUCCUGUAGAUAAGGAUUGAGGUAGUUAUUUGCUUUCAAUCUGUUUCAGCAUAUGUCUAGUAACGGACAGCUGCAUAUAGAAUUAAGCAGAGGUACUGGUAGUUAUAUUUAUGUUAUUAGAUGUGUGCUUUCACGCUUCAGAAAGCGAUUUGGAAUCUUUGAGUCGAGGAAGUAGUUAAAUUUAGAUUGAUCUAUGUGAACUUCUUCCAGUAGGAGUUGGUGCUUGUCAAUUUUUGGAGGAAAUGUUUUACUUUCCAAUUUAGUGAAGACACUAUGAAGGACUUUUUACUGUUCUCUGUUGCUAUGUUUGUCGAUUUAUACAUUGUUUAAUUUUUAACCCUGUAAUGCGUUGGAGUAAGCUGCAUUCUGUUGUUUCAUAUUAUUUUUGAAAGUAAAAGAGGUAGCUGGUAACUGCAAAGGGAAGUAAGUUGUUUGCUAGAUAGUAGAGAGAAUUUUUGGUGCAAGGAACAGAUAGUUGGGGAGGUGUCACAGCUUGUUGAUUUCCUGGAAACUAUGUACUGAGAGUUAUUUUGUUGAAGUUGUAAUAGCAUUAAUAAAAUAUCAUUUAUAGAAAAGAAGAAGUAGAGCGAAGGGAUCCUGAAGUUGCUUUCUUUUUGUUAACUUGCGAUGAUAGCACUGAAGGUCUAUGAGAAAAGAUUAGUUAGACUACCAAAAGGAUCCUCAAUGUUAUUUUGUUUAUGUUGUACUUUAAUACACCCAAAGGAAAGAACGAUUUCAUCAUUGUUGCCAGUGAAGGUAAUCAUAGUGUGGGAACGUAGAAGUCUAAAGCUGACUUUUUGCUUUGCGUUGCUUCUUUUCAUGGUUCGUCUUCCCCAAGUUUAUCAACAUCCAGCCAAAGUGGAAACACUUAAAGUGAAUUUGUUUUGUGGACAUGCAAAUGUUUUGGGGAGUUGAACAUGUGCAUUUUACUGAGGUUGAGUCGGUAUCAUCCUGCCUUUUGUGAGAUAACAUGUUAGAGAGUUCCACACUCUAGUCCGCUGCCCGCAUAAGAUAAUAUAUUGAUUCUUGUAUUAUGCUAGUAUUAGGAAUGCAAAGUUUAAUACUGUCAACCAAAUACUGCAUUAGUUAUACAGAGGUUAAUACCAUCAACCAAAUGCUGCAUUAGUUAUACAGAGGUUAAUACCAUCAACCAAAUGCUGCAUUAGUUCUGUGAAAAUUAAUUUUUUCUUAUUCAACCAACUAAACGUUAUACCACUUAUUCCCAGUACAAAAAAAUCAUUAUACUACUUAUCUGGAAUUUUAUGUUGGAUUGUUCUUGUUUAUUGUAGCCAACCAAGCAACUCCUUAGUGAUGCGCUUGACAUUUAAUACACUCCCUCAAACUCAAGGUGAUAAACAACUUGAGUUUGCAACUCUAAACUAUGUCCUUCUCAAAAAAACAAACUCUAAACUAUGAAGUGCUGCUGGAAAUAAAAUUGACUUUGGCAAUGAGACAAAACUAACUUAGCAUUAUACAAUUGAUGGCGGUGCUAUUGAUCACUACUCUGGUAUUACUACCAUUUUCUCUUCACUUAACCCAUCAACAGCGUGAGAAUGCCUUGGCUGUGUUUUGCUGUGAAUCCAUCAGAAUGAUUGCAUGUCGUGAACUUUACUAAGUUGAUAAUGACACACAAGAUGCUAAUGUGACAACUUGCUGGCAUUCCACACUGCUGACUAAGUAAUGGUUUGCCAAUGACAUGACGCUAAUCAGGAAUUGACAGGUCAAUUGACAUAAAUGACUAACUUGAGAUGGUGUCAUAGAUUGAUCAGUAGAUAAAUGUAGAACUAGACAAAUGUUGAGCCCUGACUUGACUGGUUAGUUGAUGUGAACUGAUAACAUUAGUCCUAGACAGGUGUGGACCCCAACUUGAUAGUUUAGCCAAUAUGGUUAGAAAAUUUGGCAUUGCAGUGGGUGCUGGCAUAUGGGAGUGUUGUCUACAGGGUGGAAACAACUUAAAUUUGUACAGGAUUGGCACGAUACCAUAUGAAAAAAGAGAAAAAAGGAGAAAAACUUUGUGGAUUUGGUUAUUGACAACAAACAAGAGGACUCAUUUUAAAGAACUUUUGAGCUACAUGAAAUAAGGAAAGUUUUUGGGAUUCCUAAUUAUUAUGACAUAAUCAUUAUGAAUGUUCUACACAGUUUUUAAUUACUAUUAACUUUCAACUAUGAUGAAAUUUAUGAUGAAUCUGUCAACUUAUACAAUGACAUAAUCAAUAGAGAUUUCUACAUAGUAUUAUUGAUGAUUCUCUCGACUCUUGACCAGUGUUAUCAAAGGUGAAAGCGCAAAAAAGCUCUAAGGUUUGUUGGGGCUGUAAGUGCAAAAUGCAAAUAAAGCGUGGGAUUUAAAGAAGAAAGGCUCAAACAGAGAAAAACUACAAAUAUGUAUGUAUAGUCUAAGACUAAUAUCUAUAAGCAAAAAUAUGGACAAAGAAAUUGAAGAAAAUUUACGAUAAAGUGAAAUAUUAAUGGUUUAGUGUUGCUUCUUCACGCUAAUGCUCAUUGACGAGGAAAAGUAUGCCUUAGAACCUUGAUGACAACACUAGCGCUCACCAAGUGAGGCGAAGCGCUCAACACAUUUUGAGCCUCGCUUCUGGGCUUAAGCGCGCCUUUGUUAAAACUGCUCUUGACAGGGAAUAAGGACCCUGCAUAAUCAUUUUUUAGUUUCUAAUUAACUACUAUUUGUUGGAUCCAAUUUAACUGCCUUGUUUACAACAAGCUAGGAUCGCUCUGGUGAAGAUUCUUCAUAUUGAUUUUCUCAAUUGAAAUAUGCUUACUUGAAAAAAAAAUUGGUGGCAAAGAGCUAUAAGUAGGGAAACCAGUAUAAAAAAUUCUAGCUACUACCAAUUUGGUCAUGUGGUAAGAAGUUCAAGUAGUUCCAAUAAAGCAUUACAAGCACAAAACAUAUGUUUGUUCCUAGGAAAUCUCGGUGCUUAGGAUUCUCAGUUCUGAUCCAACUGGAGCAUAUUAGGCAUGAGUGGGGCACACGUUAAGAUAGUUGAAGAGCCCUGCAACGAAUGGUUUAUAGGGGUUUUGAUGAGGUGAUAGUGCUAUGAUGUGGGAGGGGCAUACUGUAAUAUGGGGAUUGUGAUUAGUAAUUGAUUGUCCACGCACGGUGAAAACAGCAACAGGAGUCAAUUUUUAUGGUUCCAAUGGUAUUGAGUUUAGUGAUAACAUUUGGUACUGGGCAAAUAAGAAAAAUGUAUCACCACUAAGAUUUUAUUCAAUAGACCAAAAACCUGUUAUGGUGCUCUCGUCGUCGAACUUGCACAUGCAGAUCCUAAGGUCGCAUGCCCAAAAUUUUAUGUCGUGUCCAGUGUCCAGCGUUGGAGCUGGGAUCUUAUUUGAAUAAAAAAUUAGAGCUUCAAUGCCUUGCCCUCCCAUUGAAUAUGAACAUCCAUAAGUAAUUGGUUAUGCCCUCUCUUUCAUUUUCCUGAUAAAGAUUAUGCCCUCGUUUUCAUAUUUUGCUCGUGUAGAUGGUAUCUUUGUGUUCAUAUCAUAUUUACUUAUUCAUUGAAGUAGUACCAUCAAAAGUGUGAACAUACAAUUAUUACUGCAUGCCACUUUCUGGUAAUCUCAAAUAACAUCUAUUGACAACUAUUGUUUAGCACUGUUGAUAACAAAAAGCACUAUGAGUGUUUCGACUUGACCUAACUACACUUGAAUGAUCUUCUUGCAGGAGUUUGAGGCAGUCAUUCUUAACUUAUAAGAGAAUAGUGACCAGGUGACUGUCUAAAUGCUGGAUUGUACAUCAGUUGCUAUGUGAGGUUGUGAAUUAAUUGAUAUCCAUUGAUAUAUUUCUAUGUUAGUAACCACGUAGCAACAUUUAACAAUCAAAGCUUUGGAGUUCAAUCAUCUAUGCCUGGCAACGAUGUUGGAGAUAGGGUUCACAACUUCUUUGCACAAGACAGCUUGUCACAAGAGCAGCAUCAUUCCCCAGUAGUGGAGGGAAAUUGGCCAGCUCAUAGUAACAAUCUGUGGGUUGGAAGUCAGAGACAGAUAGGUGUACUGACUCCCAACACAAAGAAUUACAAUUUACAGAACUCUGGUAAUUUGACAUGUCAUGUUUCUCUAAACUAUUAUUUGAUAGCUAUAUCUCAGUCUGUUAGUUGUUCUCUUACAUUUCUUUCAUUUGCAGAUAGUGGGAAAGGGCCGAGCAGUUACCCUUUUACCAGCCAACAUGGGUUGAAUUUUAUGCAAUCCACUCCAAGGCCUGAGUUUGCAAAGAGCCAGUCACAAAAUCAGCAGGCAAAUUUGAAUGGUUACAUGUAUAGUAAUCAGUUUCACCAGACAAGGCAGGAUGAAGCAAAAUUUCUCUCUAUCGAUACAGGUUAUGAUCAACGUAGUCUAGCCUCAGGAGGCCUAUCUCCUUAUGCAUCACAGCAAGGAGUAGGUCCAGAGCAGCAGGCAAGAGUACCAGUUAGGUCAGAACCUUCUGAGAGUCCUGCUAGUUUUGAUCUUUUUGGUGGUCAGCAAAUGAAUCGUCAGCAAUCAAACAUGCUGCAGUCUCUGCAGCGGCAGCAGUCUGGGCAUAGUGACAUGCAGNNNNNNNNNNNNNNNNNNNNNNNNNNNNNNNNNNNNNNNNNNNNNNNNNNNNNNNNNNNNNNNNNNNNNNNNNNNNNNNNNNNNNNNNNNNNNNNNNNNNNNNNNNNNNNNNNNNNNNNNNNNNNNNNNNNNNNNNNNNNNNNNNNNNNNNNNNNNNNNNNNNNNNNNNNNNNNNNNNNNNNNNNNNNNNNNNNNNNNNNNNNNNNNNNNNNNNNNNNNNNNNNNNNNNNNNNNNNNNNNNNNNNNNNNNNNNNNNNNNNNNNNNNNNNNNNNNNNNNNNNNNNNNNNNNNNNNNNNNNNNNNNNNNNNNNNNNNNNNNNNNNNNNNNNNNNNNNNNNNNNNNNNNNNNNNNNNNNNNNNNNNNNNNNNNNNNNNNNNNNNNNNNNNNNNNNNNNNNNNNNNNNNNNNNNNNNNNNNNNNNNNNNNNNNNNNNNNNNNNNNNNNNNNNNNNNNNNNNNNNNNNNNNNNNNNNNNNNNNNNNNNNNNNNNNNNNNNNNNNNNNNNNNNNNNNNNNNNNNNNNNNNNNNNNNNNNNNNNNNNNNNNNNNNNNNNNNNNNNNNNNNNNNNNNNNNNNNNNNNNNNNNNNNNNNNNNNNNNNNNNNNNNNNNNNNNNNNNNNNNNNNNNNNNNNNNNNNNNNNNNNNNNNNNNNNNNNNNNNNNNNNNNNNNNNNNNNNNNNNNNNNNNNNNNNNNNNNNNNNNNNNNNNNNNNNNNNNNNNNNNNNNNNNNNNNNNNNNNNNNNNNNNNNNNNNNNNNNNNNNNNNNNNNNNNNNNNNNNNNNNNNNNNNNNNNNNNNNNNNNNNNNNNNNNNNNNNNNNNNNNNNNNNNNNNNNNNNNNNNNNNNNNNNNNNNNNNNNNNNNNNNNNNNNNNNNNNNNNNNNNNNNNNNNNNNNNNNNNNNNNNNNNNNNNNNNNNNNNNNNNNNNNNNNNNNNNNNNNNNNNNNNNNNNNNNNNNNNNNNNNNNNNNNNNNNNNNNNNNNNNNNNNNNNNNNNNNNNNNNNNNNNNNNNNNNNNNNNNNNNNNNNNNNNNNNNNNNNNNNNNNNNNNNNNNNNNNNNNNNNNNNNNNNNNNNNNNNNNNNNNNNNNNNNNNNNNNNNNNNNNNNNNNNNNNNNNNNNNNNNNNNNNNNNNNNNNNNNNNNNNNNNNNNNNNNNNNNNNNNNNNNNNNNNNNNNNNNNNNNNNNNNNNNNNNNNNNNNNNNNNNNNNNNNNNNNNNNNNNNNNNNNNNNNNNNNNNNNNNNNNNNNNNNNNNNNNNNNNNNNNNNNNNNNNNNNNNNNNNNNNNNNNNNNNNNNNNNNNNNNNNNNNNNNNNNNNNNNNNNNNNNNNNNNNNNNNNNNNNNNNNNNNNNNNNNNNNNNNNNNNNNNNNNNNNNNNNNNNNNNNNNNNNNNNNNNNNNNNNNNNNNNNNNNNNNNNNNNNNNNNNNNNNNNNNNNNNNNNNNNNNNNNNNNNNNNNNNNNNNNNNNNNNNNNNNNNNNNNNNNNNNNNNNNNNNNNNNNNNNNNNNNNNNNNNNNNNNNNNNNNNNNNNNNNNNNNNNNNNNNNNNNNNNNNNNNNNNNNNNNNNNNNNNNNNNNNNNNNNNNNNNNNNNNNNNNNNNNNNNNNNNNNNNNNNNNNNNNNNNNNNNNNNNNNNNNNNNNNNNNNNNNNNNNNNNNNNNNNNNNNNNNNNNNNNNNNNNNNNNNNNNNNNNNNNNNNNNNNNNNNNNNNNNNNNNNNNNNNNNNNNNNNNNNNNNNNNNNNNNNNNNNNNNNNNNNNNNNNNNNNNNNNNNNNNNNNNNNNNNNNNNNNNNNNNNNNNNNNNNNNNNNNNNNNNNNNNNNNNNNNNNNNNNNNNNNNNNNNNNNNNNNNNNNNNNNNNNNNNNNNNNNNNNNNNNNNNNNNNNNNNNNNNNNNNNNNNNNNNNNNNNNNNNNNNNNNNNNNNNNNNNNNNNNNNNNNNNNNNNNNNNNNNNNNNNNNNNNNNNNNNNNNNNNNNNNNNNNNNNNNNNNNNNNNNNNNNNNNNNNNNNNNNNNNNNNNNNNNNNNCCACACACACACCAAAAAAAAACAAAAAAAAAGUCCCAUGAAAAUAGAGAUGCCUUGCCUUGUGGUAGUUGAAUAGGUUAAUUUUUCUGCUAUAAUCAAUAUUGGAAAAGAUAGGUUCAGGUUUUCUAAUAGACAAUGACUUGCGUUAUACAAGAUUAUCAGAUCUUUGGUUGCUUUGGGGUAUUCCAGCAUGUUUGUUCUCUUCUCUUUCUGGAUUAUUAUCUUGAGCUACAUAUCUUCUGCAAAGAAAUGUCUCAUUUUCUUACGACUUGUCCUAGUACUAUGAGUAUUUUAGAAUGUAGCCUGCCAAGUUGCAGAGAAACUACAUUUAAUGCUAAAUUUUAGUCAUGGAACUGCAGACUUCAGUUCUGUGAUCAACCAAAUGUGGUUUUAUUGGAAACUCGGGGGCAUUGUUUGGAUUCUUAUAUGGUCUUUUUGCUUCUGUUAGCACAUUUUGGAAUAUUUGAUGCUAAAGGUCUUUAAUCACCAUUCCCACUCUGAAAAUACAAGGAUAGAAGUGCUAAAGCCGAGUAAAUGAUCCAAAGAAAAGCAAGUAGUAAUUGAUUUAUUUCAGAAAAAUUCAACACUGUUAUAGUCUUUAACAGCUGCUCCAUAAUGGUUUUCUGCUAAUUCCUCGGCGUCCAUUUCAUUUCUUACGUGUUACAGUUGUGUUUAGAAUCUAUCUUCUUUACUAAAUCAGUUUAUACCUGACAAUAUACAAGGUAAUUCCACAUAAUAUCUCUUUUAUUCGUUCUUCUCUGAUGCAGACUGGACAAGAGAGCAUCAAUACUAGACGUGAUAGUGGAAGGCCAGGAUAUUGAAAAGUUCUCUGUCAUCUAUCGGUUUGCGAAGUUCCAUGGUCGGGUGCAAUCUGAUGGUGUUGAGUCCUCAUCUUCAUCAGAUGCACGUAGCCAUAAACCUUUGGCACAGAGAUAUGUCACUGCACUUCCAAUGCCAAAAAAUCUUCCUAGUAUGGUACAAUGUCUUUCACUAUGAUCACAGAUGAAUUGAUUUCCCCCAUGUUCUGGUGGUAAAUCUACUAGCUCUACUUCUCUAAGAAGUUAUGGUGCUAAAUAUGCACUGGCACUAGCAACAACAGAAAUUGAUGGACACUGAAUUGUCACCUCAAAUGUAAUGUAGGCUGUCCAAUCUUUUACAUGUUGACCACUUAUGUCUUAUCAAGAAAUAUGAUUCAUUUUGUGUACAUCUCUUCAAAUUUGUAGGGAGGGAGAGAAAGGACCUAGGGGCUUCAUUUUUUUCCAUCAGUAGAGAAAAUAUAUUAGGAGGUGUUUGUAUAUAGUUAGUCAUCAGUGUUAUAUGUGUUACACUUUCUCUCACGAAUUUGUGAAGGUAAUCAUAAUUGCUUUAGUCAGGUCGGGGAUAAUUCAGACAUCUUGCGGUAAAUAUCAUGCCCAGGCUUUUCCUGAACUCCGAAUCAUUUGGAGAUUUACUAGAAAUUUUAGCUGGGAGCUGUCUUGAGAAUUUGAUCAGCUGUCUCGUGAAAUGGACAUUCUUAGUACAGCUUCGUUAUAAUUAGCUCUCUUGUACAGACCUUGUGAGUUACAACAACUUGGGAUUUGGCUCAAUCUUGGCUUCCUGUUAUUGAUGUGAUGUUAGAGUGUAAAUGUAGAAAGAUGUUAGCUUGCGAGUUAAAUACCCCAUCUUCUGAUAUAGGAGUUACAUCUCAUAAUCUGCUUGGUGAAGCAAUUAUCCGACUUGUCAAAUUGACAAUUUGAAAUCCAAGAUAAAACUUAAUCAUUGAUGACAUAUCUCUCUGUAAGCCUCCUGUUGUACCUUUGUGUAUCUUUCUUUUACUCAGUUGUAAUGUUUUCCUGCCAACUAGUUGUGCUAAAUCUCUACACCAAGCGAAAGCUGAAAGAAAUGGAAAUUCAUAUGGAUUAUUCUGCCACUUGGAAAGAAGAAGCCUUACCUUCUCUGCUCAAGAAAACAGGAAUUAUAGAACUGCUAGUCUCUGUAUAUUUGCUUUCAAUUCACAGAUUUUGAAGUGCGUUAUUUUGUCAAAAGCUUAUAUAAUCAUAUAGAUAGCAUCAUCUUGUCUGGUUUUCCCUUCCGAUAGUUGCUUCAACAAGCAAAUGCAGUAAUCAGCAAUCACUAUCCUUCUCCCCCACCCCCAAGUUAAUUGCCUCUUUAAUUGCCUGGAAGAUGGGAAUAAC
rnacentral:lncRNA from 1 species